UUCAAUUAUCAGUAAACCCACUCCAAUUUAACUAAUAACAAUCUCCAUUUGUUUAAUUAUCAGUCAACAACAACAAACACACUCCAAAUAAUUGAAUAAUUGCCAAUCAAUUAAUUAAAAAUAUAAAAUUUAAUUAUUAGUCAAUGAAGCUCAAUUAAAACUACGUUACAGCUCAAUUAAUUAUUAGUCAAUGAAGCUCCAUUAAAACUACGUUACAGCAUUGAGUUAGUAAUAGGAAAUUCGAAAUUCGAUUCGGGUUGUUGCCAUCAGCUGCAAGCAAGUCAGCAAGUUACAGGCUUACAGCGUCGGCAAAGCGAGACAAACCUUGAUCUCGGAGCAGCUACAACGUCGGCAGAUCGAGACCGUGUUGGGCUGAGUGGGACGCGAGGUGAACGCACGGCGCAGUUGCGGGUGAGGCGUGCUGGCUGACGGCGAGUGGGCUGCGGUGAACGGCUGGUGUCUGUUGGAGUUGGACGAGGCUGCUGGCUAUUACUGUCGUCGUGGCCCACGAAACUCGGAAGAGGGAGUAAGGAGGGAGGGGGAGGGAGAGACGGUGAGACCGAGAGUUUAGCUAAUUAGCUGCUUAGGGAUUUUUUUCAUUUAAUGUAUGGACUUGACUAGCUUACAGAAUCUGGAAGCUACAGACUGCAGCAUCAGCCAUUGGAUGUGGAGUGAGAAACUAAACAAUAGAAAUCAGAUGGUGGGAUGACGGGUAUGUAUAUAUAUUUUUAAUUUUUAAAAGCUGAAUCUUAAAAAAAAAAAAAAAAGGCUUCAACCCGAACGGGUUGAGAAUUCGGUUCGGGUUGAACCCAAACUAAAUUUUAACCCGAAUGGGUUGAAGCUUUGAAUCCGUUGGGGUUUCACCGGUUAACCCAAACCGAACCGAAUCCGAAAUAAAUUUCGGGUUUGGUUCGGUUCGGGUUAACCCGAACCGAAUGCCCACCCCUAGUCUCAGCCAUUAGCCAAGUGGUAAACUCUAACUCUUCCAAGUCCUCUUAAAUUUUACUCUCCUAAUUAAAAAUUACGUAAAGAUAUGAAUUUUCUCUAUUGAUUUUUGUAGGUAGAACAAAUAACCUUCCAGUAUUUGUAAGAUAGAAUUAUAGGUUAUGCUAUAAUAGAGUUGAUCUAGAUGGUUUAUGAGUAGACUUCUAAUUGUAUAAUACAUAUUAGUAAGGGGAAAAAGACAUCUCCACUUGCAAAAUGUGGAGAAGUAGUCACCAACACUCCUAAGUUUUCAUAAAAGGAUGUUAAGACUCAUUUUGACUAUUAUACUCUUUAUCUCUAUUAUUCCCCAAAAAAAUAGACUUUAAAAUGUUUAACAAAUACAAAUAUUAUAUAAAUAAUGUAAUCUAUGCAGCUGACUAAUAAUAUUUUAAUAUUUUAAUAAAUUUAAAUAUAUAAAUUAUUAUAUUUAUUUUAAUAAUAUGUUUUUAUUUAUUGUAGAGACUUAAAAUAAUAUGAAUGAAUUGGAAACCAAUCUUCACAAAGAAAGAAAAGUUAGCCUUCACAUGGAAGUAUGGAAGGAAAGACUAACCUUUAUAAAGAAGGAAAAAGCAACCUUCAGAAGGAAAGAAAGACAAAAAGAUGAAAAUGGGGAAAAAAGUUAUUAAUAGUAAAUAACACUAAUUAAUAAUUAGUAAUAGUGACACUUAAUAUAAUAAAAUUACAUUAAAUUAAAAUAAAAUUGAAUAGAAACAAAUACAAUAUCAAUUAUCACAAUGCAAUUAGUAAGUGUCUAUUUGCUAUGACUUGUCUAAUAGUUUUAAGUAUUUAUUUAAUCCCAUAAGCUCUUAAUCAAAUUUUUUGUUAUUGUUUGAUUAUUUGUUUAGUAGAAUUUUUUUAAUAUUAAAUAAGAUAUUUGGUGUCCACUAUCAAAAGCUUAAAUUUAGGACUUUUGAGAGUAAAAGUUGAAAUUUUUUUUGUAAAAUACUAAAAUGUUUAAAAUAUUAUUUACUUAUUUGACAACUUUAUUUCAUUAUUUUUCAUAACCUAACUUUAAAAAACUUACAUAUUAAAAUCAUUUUUAUAACUUUUAAUAAAAUAUUGACAACCAAAAAAUAAAUUUUUUUGCGUAAAAUAUCUAUUUGUAAAAACUCUGCUAAUAUAAACCCAUUUAAAUAAACUGAAUUUAAAAAGCUACAACCAAAAUACAACUAGAAUUGUUUUUUUUAAUAUUUAAUUGUCGGGCUGAAGGAUCGGACUCAGACUUUCUUGAUUAACCCCUAGACCGAGCCCGAUCCGACUCGAAGCCUAAAAGUGGAGCCGAAGCCUGACUGGGCCGGGCGCUCACUUUUCUGCCAUCCCUAGCGGCAACUCAACUCAAGCCUUGGCUGGAUGGUCGUAGUUUUUGCGCGUUUCAGUUGACAGGCGUUGAUACAGGCUACACGGGGUAUGCGCAGAGUCUUAACCUACACCCACAACAUUUCUCCUCUGUCCUCUCUAUAAAUAGCUUUUCUCUUUUACUUCUCGUUUCCCUCUUCUUUCAAAAUCAUCACCGAAUCAACAAAUAAUCUUUCGCUCUGUCACUCACCAACUAAAUAUCACGAAACGAUAAAAAAUUAGCAAGUUAAUAGCAAAUUAACUGAACUGCUUCAAGCAAUAAUGGCUACUUUCGGUGCUGCUGCCGUUGCCACCAAUCAAAACCCUAACAAGUCCAUCGAGGUAUACUUUAUUUAUUUAUUUUCUUUAUUAUUUUUUCUUUUCGAUAAUCUUUAAAAAUUAUUUACCGUUAAAUUUCUUGUCGGUUUCUUGUGUAUGAUGAACUUGGUGACUGUUGAAUUAAUGCUUAUGGUGAUGUUAUUAUUAGGAUUAAGUAGAAAGUUAUAUAAAUUAUUUAUUAUAUAUUUUUGUCAGGGUUAAGCUUAAUUGCUUGUGUUAAUGUAAAAAUUAAUUCUACAUUUUCGGAUAAAGAUUUUUUUUUUUAAUGCUAAAUAUGUAUGCGAAGCUAUGAUCAUUUGUUUGCUUGCUGUCUUGCUGAACGGAUUGUUGAAAGCGAACCAAUUGCUAAGCUUGUGAAUGUGUUGGAGUUUCAGUGUAAAAGAACAGUAGUUAGUAAGUGAAUCAUCAGGCUUGCUAGUAGUGCUUGGUAGUUUAUAGUGUGAUUUUCAUACAGAAGACAUUGAAGUAAGAAUUUUCACUUCUUCUUUUUAUAUGAAUUUAAAAUUGCAGUCUAUGUGGCAUUUUGGUUCGGGCAGUAAAUUGCUUUUAUUAUUAGAAGUUCAUCUGUUAGAAGUCUUCAUUGUGUAGUUGAGUGUAAUGACCUUCUUGCUAAGUUGGACAAUAUGUGCACGUGGAUAGUUAAGUGGUCAGUUCACAUGACCUCAAACAGAAGAGUGGCCAUGUUGUGUUCAGAUGAAUGAAUGGAAAUGUUGGGCGUGUUUAGUUCUGCCAUGCUAACCUGUACUGACAAUUACCGAUGCUCAAAGUGGAUAUGAGCUGGCAGGGGCUAUGGACUCUCAAAUUGUCGGCACUCUUUUCCCAUACUUAUAUAAUUUAGGCGUUGUUUAAAGAGAAACGCCCUUGAUGAGUGCUUUAAUAUCGUAGGUUUUUGUCUUUCUUUCUUCUCUAAGUUGUGUGUCAUGCUCUUUUCUUUCUCCGUUAUAUCCUUUCAUUUCUGUUUGGUAUCUGAUGUGGUCAACAGUUUACUGUGUCUCCAUGUGGUGCCAUGUGCACUUUGUAUGAUUUUGCGUGUAGUUGAUCAGUCACUUGUACUCUCUUGAUGUUCUUGUAUUUGAGAUCUUUAUCCUCUUGAUGUUUCAAUAUGUAAUUAGGUACUGGGAUACAAGGCAGCCAAAUCCUGUGCGCACUCAACAGCUGCCUGAUCGCUGCUAUGCGCUCCGCUUAUGGUUGUUGGAACUGCAGAUAGAAAUCUAGUUGUCUUCAACUUGCAGAAUCCUCAGGUAUCGUUUUUUAUUCCAUGAGAGCAUUGAUUUAUAUGUGUAAAUUAAAUGGGCAAAUUUGGUGCUGGCAGCUGAAGCAUGUGUUUUGAGUGGCAGCAGUUGCUGUGACACUAGUAGUUGGUUGACUUUGAUUUAAAAUUUAACUUGAACCCAUCUUUUUUAAUGUGGAAUGGAAACAAUAAUUAUUUGUUGACUGUUUUUGGAAUUGAAAGCUAUCCUACCGUAUGGAACCACCUUCCCUUGUAUUCAAAAGGGUUCCUCAAUGUCAUGGAGCAUCCUGUAUAAAAUUAUUGUAUGAUUUCUUUUGUUGCCAGAUAUUUUUCUUCUGAUUGGUGUUGUCUGGAAAAAGGUUAUUUCUCGAUAUCAUUUUGUUUGUGUACAAGGAGGAAUGGAUACUAUAAUAAACUGGUCUACUGAGAAGAGCUUGAUGUUUGUAGAUUUGCCAACAUAUAUACACUACAGUUAUAGUAUGUAUUUCCAUGUCUUCAAUAUUCCUUUUUAAUUGAAAAAAAUAGCAAUUUGGAAUGUGUUUAUUUGCCUUAUAUCUUUCAAUUUUAGUUGAUAAUUUCAGUCAUGCUUUAUCUGUUCUUAUGUGAUGAUGAUAUAAAUAAGAUAUAAUAGCUCCUAGAAAUUUUGAAAUCUGGCUAAUUUAGAAAUUUGAACUAAAGGUUGGGUACAAUACUAUAUCUUCGUACACUAUCAUGAGAGUUUAGAUAACGGUUUCCGCAUUACCUGUAUUACAAUUUACCAUAUAUGGCACAUGCUUAUUGCAACAUAAAAAUGGUCAAGAGGCGAUGAAUUCUUGUUACUAUUUAACUUUUUUGUUGGGUAUUUAUUGAUUUCCAUAUUUUACCUUCAUGUAUUGUUCUUUUUAUAUUUUGUUUCACUUAUUUAUAUCUAAUAUAUGCAUUUUCUUCCGAGUAUGUCUAAUCAUUGUUUAAUGCUACCAGACUGAGUUCAAGAGAAUCAAUUCCCCUUUGAAGUACCAGAUGAGAUGUGUUGCUGCCUUUCCUGACCAGCAAGGUUUCUGGGUAUGCAUUCAUUUAUUUUGAUCUCUCUUUUCUCGUUCCUCAUGGUCUUUAUGCUCGAAAUAUGAGGCAUUGUCAAUUGGGUUGCAUAUUCCCAUGUUUCAAAAUUUGCUUCCCCUGCCAGCAAUGAGGGGCUAAGUUUAGCCUCAAUUACUUAUUCCACUUUCAUCAACAUUGGCUCCAACUUCUUUUCAUUGAGAUCACUGUCUUUUCUUCUAAUCUUUGUGCUUCUCUUAUUUUUUGGUUGUUGAAUAUGGUGUUAUUCCGAUAGGUUGGUUCAAUUGAGGGAAGGGUCGGCGUUCACCAUCUUGAUGAUUCACAGCAAAGUAAGAACUUCACUUUCAAAUGCCACAGAGACGGUAGUGAGACAUGCUCUGUCAUCUCAUUCACUUCCAUCCUGUAAGCUUCCUUUUAGUGCUUUCUGAUUUCAAAUUUUCAGUUACAUAAAACGUUCGAGAUGUAAAACUUAGAAAUAAAAGUAUACAUUGGAGUGAUAUAAUAGCUCAUUUUGAGGUAACUUUAGUGAUGCCACCCAUGUCUUACAUAAUUUUUCCCAGUAUUUGUAAUUUCUCUAAAGAUUAGAGAUCUUUCAAGUAUUAGAUCUUGGUGCCCUUAAGAUGUUGGUAUCAUAGGAAUUUUUAUCCAACAGUGGAAAUGUACUUUCUUUUGUGAGGAUUUCAAUGCUCAGUGCAUAUACUUUUGCUGUUAUUAACAUCAUAUGUUAUCAUUUAAGAUUUGUAGAGCAGGAGAUGCACCUAAGUAUUCUUCAUUUUAUAAGGUGAAGCGCCUACAUCUAUUUGUCAAAUCUCAUGUAAUUGUUCUUUUUGUCCAGAUACAUCACACUUUUGCAACUGCUGGAUCUGAUGGUGCAUUUAAUUUUUGGGACAAGGAUAGUAAACAGCAGCUCAAGGUGUUUUGACUUUCAUUCAGUACUUCAAUAACAAUUAUUGUUGUUGUCGUUAUUGUUCUUCCUAGAUGAAAUACAUAAAACAAUGUGAUUUUUACUGGAUUUUCAGGCCAUGUCAAGGUGCGGGCAACCUAUACCUUGCAGUACAUUCAAUAAUGAUGGCUCGAUAUUUGUGUGCUUGGUAAAUAAAUUCAUCCAUCUUCCUAAAGUCGACUUGGAGUCUCUUAUCAUCCUACUUUUCACACAUGUUGGGAUAUAUGCUUAAGUUCAAGAUAAUGGCAGGAUUCUAGAAAUCCACGCCUCUUUCAUUCUGUCUGUUUGCAUGAUGCUUAGUCUUCUAUGGCUCAUGUUAAUUCAAUGUUACAUGAAUUUGCGUUUCCAUGAAAUUAAACAACUAAAAUUUCUGGUUCUUCCUGCUAUGUUCUGAUCCUGGCAUGGCAUAGUGCAUUGAUUUCUUGGACAUUUAAACUUAAACUAGAAAAGUGUCAUUCUAAAUCUUAUCUUGCAUUUCCUGUAGGUGUGUUAUGACUGGAGUAAUGGGGCAGAAAAUCACAACCCUGCAACAGCAAAGACUUAUAUCUAUCUGCACUUGCCACAGGUUCGUUUACUUUUUUGUUCAUAUACUACCAUCAAUAGCGUAUCUUUGAUCUCUCAAUUCUUGAGGAUCACCAAUAAUCCCAUAUCAUCCAAAAUCUAUUUUGAAAAUAUUUCAAAAAAUCAUUCAAAAUAUGUUGGCUCAAGCUCAACAAAGCAGAAAAUCAAUGGGCCUACAACAACGAUAAAAUGAUUAUGAUAUGUCUUGAUCUUAUUGCAAGUGUGACAAUAAUAAAAAUUCAAGUUGUUUACAGUAUAUGCAAAUUAUCAUUACUCUUCAAUGUCUAUUUGAAUGUGCAUCAUCAAUUAACCGCAAAUUGGGUUCUUAUAAUCAUGAAUCCAAAUUCAAGCCAUUCAAUGGUUUAGCCCAUUUUAGUAGGCUUAUCAAUUUUAAUUAAAAGUUUAUUAGACAAAGUUAAUGCAUAAAAAUAGAGUGCUUUAAAGUAAAGCAUACAUUAAGAUUUUUAUGUGAUUUGAUGUCCAAAUCCCUACUUCUACGAAGCCAUGCUCAAAUAUCAAGUGAUUCAUUAGAUUUAAGAGAUUAGAAACUAUUGGAACCUUAUAUAUUAUAUGAGACUCUCUCUUGGUGAUUGCUGCCAUCUUGUUAUAAUCUCACCAAGUGAAAACUUUAUGUGCACCACACAUUUUUUGCUUCCUCUUCUUAGUAAGACUUUUAAGUCAACAGUAUGUCGCCACUCUAUAGAAUUUAUAUUCUAUGAACACGUGGUCCCUUCUCCCAUCUCCCAAAAAUACUAAAGAUAAUGUCUCUCAAUUAAAGAAUGAUCCGAAGGUUGUAGCCUUUGAUGUAGAAUCAUUCUACUGCUCCAACGAUUUUUACUCCGCAAAAACUGGAUGACAUGGCCAUCGAGAUGAUCAUAAAAGAAGUUGGUAGAAUUAAAGUUUUAUAUUCUGUAUGCUUGUUUGUCUGGCUAGAAAAUGAAGGAAAUUUUGUUGACUUAGAGAGGCAAAUCAGAAACUGAAUUCAUUAUGAUUUGAUACAAUAGACUGAGAUUACAAUACAGUAUAUAUAUAGUAGCAUCUGGAACUUUGUGAAUGUAGCAGAAUCAUAUGCGCACACUGCUAUUCACCACAACAUUUUGGUGGGAAAUAACAGACUUAUAACAAACUUUUAACAACAUGCAUAAUAAUCUUCCAGUAGCUUCCAGUAGCGUGGCAUCUGAUUCAUUACUUCACUUAACAAUUUGCUGACAUCACAGAGCCUCACAGAGCUGACUCAACUUAUUCUUAACAGGUAGUGGACAAUCAAGAAGACAGCAGACACCAAGGCAACAAGAAUAAUGAAAAUUGCAAAGUGCGCGAUCCGUUGAUAUCCAUGAUCAAAUGAUUAAUUUUUUUCAAAUCAAGGAGUGUUUUUAUUAUCAGAAGUACCAUGUUUACUGAUUAUAAAGAAUUGUUAAAUAUAAAAUUAGCAGUAAAAUAAUUGUUAAGCAAAUAAAAAUCUAUCCAAUCACUGUAAAGGCUUUUCCAAAUCUAACAGCAUAACACAAAAGUAUUAUUUUUUUUUCUUUUUUCAUUUUUUGAGAAAUCCUUUAUUCUUUUUUAAUUUGUUGCAAAUAUAUACAUACGAUUUAAAAUAACUAAAAAUUACAGGACUCUAAAUUAGCAAUAAUCUCGAAAAUCUGUUCUUAUUAAUGUUGCCUUGGUGGAAAUCGACCUUAUUUAAAGAGAAUGAGCCCCAUGCCAUUGGGCUACAAGCACAAGCGGCCCACAAAUAGUAGAGUAUCUAAAACAGUAAAAUUAUAUCAUCUCCAUUGUCCAGAACACUUUAUAUAUGCAUUUCCAGUUUUCCACUGUAUAUACUAAUAUGCAUCCCUAGUAUACUUUAAGCGUUGAAGAGGUCUGAUGGAAAAAAAAAAAUGAUUAGAAUCCUUCGUUUCUAGCGGAUCAUAAAAGGCUUUAUUAUUUUCUUUUUCGAGUGAUGCUUUUUACAAAUAAAAAUGCACAAAGCUAGUAAAAGAUGAAUCUAUUCACUUUAUCAAUUCAAUAAUGAUAUGGCACAAAUAAUUUUAUACAUAUUGGUAUGUACAAACUGAUGUGGCAUAAAGAAAUUUAUUGAAAAGUGACAUAUUAUUUUUUUUAAUUAUGUGAAUCCACGAUGGUUUUAUAGAACCAACCUUCGAUUUUUUAAGAUUGUUAACAGCAGAGGGGUGAUAUUCAAAAUUAUUGAUCGAAUAGGUAUAACUUAUUACCUGAUUCUUCUUUAAUUACAAGAAUUCUGAUCAUCGAAGGUUUUUGGGCCUUCCCAAAUCAAACUUGGCUGUGGUUGGACUGAUCAUUUCUUUUAGUAUUCUCACAGUAGAUCACUUUCACAGUUAAUUGGAACUCCACUCGUGAGUCACGGCCGCGGUAAGUGUAGAUUUGGGAACUAGCUAAAGUCUUAGUAUUAGGACCUGUUUGUUGUUAUAUAUGAUAAUCAACACAAAUCAGUCUAAUGAUUCAACGUUUAUGAGUCGGCACGCAAGACUUAAUUGGAUAAGACUAUUUUCAGCGUCAAUCAUAUUUUAUACGUUCUAAAAGAAAAGUCUUUGUUACUUUCUAAUUAGUAAAUUUCCUUUAAGAUGAACUGUAUCAACUGGGGCUAGUAAUCAGUUGAGCUCAAUGGAGCGUUAUGUAGUCAUCACUGUUGUUAAUUUAGUAAUGGCUUCAUUCGUCGCCUUAAUAUUAACAUUCGCUGCGAGGCCUUCUGUAAUCGUCUUGAUGCUGCUGACCGCAACUGCGUGUGGGAUGAUACCCUUGGGUUUGAUUAUUUUUUGUUAUGUGAAGAGAAAUCCGGAAAGCAAAGGUACGUAAGAAUAGUUAAUUAAUUUAUCACGCAUAGCAUAUAUAACAUAUGAUUGUUUGAUCGAGUAUAUAGUACGAAUAUUUUUUAUGUCUUCACCAUUCAGGGGAGGAUUUGAUGCGAUUUGAUUUGGGUAUGAACCGACAAGCUAUUAACAUAGAGCUUACUGAAGCAAAUAAGCAUGGAAACGGUGGAAAAAAGCAAAUUGAAUUGCCCUUUUUCAGUUUUUCCAGUGUUUGUGCAGCCACAAAUAAUUUCUCUGCCACAAAUAAACUCGGGGAAGGUGGUUUUGGUCCUGUAUACAAGGUAAAAUUUUAAUUUUGGCAACAAGCUUAUGGACUAAUUAUUAUUUAACAAGAACUACAAUUUCAGGGAGUAUUAGCAAAAGGAGGUGAAAUAGCUGUCAAAAGGCUUUCAGGAAGAUCUGGACAAGGAUUGCGAGAGAUGAAAAAUGAAGCUUCAGUGAUAGCCAAGGUUCAGCACAAGAAUCUUGUUAGACUUUUGGGCUGCUGCAGGGAUAAAGAUGAGAAGAUUCUGAUCUAUGAGUACAUGCCUAACAAAAGCUUGGACUUCUUUCUUUUCGGUUAGUUAUUGCAUUUAUUCUUACAUGUUCCUUACUUCAAAUUUUAUUCAUACAUUUGUUUGAACUAAUAUUUAAUAAAUAAAAUUACAUAUCAAAAAUUUAUUUCAAAAUUUAUUUAAACUAGAAUUUAGCCUAUAUUACAUUUCCAAUUUUUAUUCAUUAAUUUAUGUAAAAUAGCAUUUAGCAUUUAAUUUAAGAUUAAACAUAUAAUUACAUUCAGUAAUUUAUUCAAACUACUACAUAAUACUAAAUAUCAAAAUUAUUCAAUUAUUAAUUUAUAUUGAAAUUGAAUAUCUAAUAUAAUAUUCAAUAAUUAACAAUAUAAAUUUAAGAAAUAAUCAUACUUUUUAAAUAGCUUUUUUAACUUCCAUAAACUAAAUUUAAUAUUAGUGGCGAAGCUAGCACUAUUUUUUGGGGUGGGCUAGAUUUUUUUUUUAAAAUUCAAUUACUUCUCAAAAAAAUUAUUCUAUACAAAUAAAAUGAUUAAAAUACACUAGACAAGCAAGAAAAACUAAUAACAAAACUAUAAAAGUACAAUGUAAAUAAAAAAAUACUAUCAACGAAAUUUUGUCAUGUGAUUCUCCAGAAAAGAAAACUCAUAUAUCGUAUCUGAAUUAUAUUAUCUGCGAUAGUAAUACAGUAGAGAUAUUAUCUGCGAUAAUAAUACAUUAGAGAAUUAUUAAUUAUUUUAUCAAAAAUUUUGACAAAAGUAUAAGCUAAUAACUAAUUCAAAAACAGUAUGAGCAUGUGGGUGCGGCAGAGGCUAGCUGCCACCCAUGAGGUGGCAACUUGAUGACUUGAACAAUUGAGUUUUGGGGAAUUUAAACUUUGGAUAAUUAGAUCAAUUAGUUAGGGAUUUAGGUGAGUUUUUCGAUUUAGAGAAAAUAGAUAUUGACUAUAAUUAUUAGUUAUAUUUUUAUAUUUUACUAUAAGUUUUUUAAAAAGAGUAAAUUUAUAAUUAAUUAAUUUUUUUUCAAAAAACAGCCCGGGUUAGCCCCCUCAUAACUUCGCCCCUAUUUAAUAUGAUCUCGUCCAAUACUAAACCAAACACAAAACGUGACUAUAAAAUAAUUCAGUCUUAUCGAAUCCAAUUAAAUCUUAAUAACUAGUCCAAUCCAAUCCUUUGUUUACCUAACCUAAAAGAAUAUUUAACAUUUACUAUUUCAUUUAGCUAUUUUUAAGUUUAAUGAUUAACAUCAUCCAAUUAUCAGAUUUUUUAUUAAAAAAAUAAAAUUAAGUCACUAGAUCAAUUUACGUUAGAUAAUGUAGUCUACAUUUUUUUUUGUUUUCAUGCAUAAUGACGUUUAGUUCUUUUGUUGUAAAUUAGAUCCAACCAAGCGAAUGUUAUUAGAUUGGGUAACACGUCUUCGGAUUAUUGAAGGGAUAGCUCAAGGGCUUCUUUAUCUUCAUCAAUAUUCGAGAAUGCGAAUCAUUCAUCGAGAUUUAAAAGCCAGUAACAUCUUGUUGAAUAAAGACAUGAAUCCCAAAAUAUCAGAUUUUGGAAUGGCAAGAAUUUUUGGAGAAAAUGAGUUACAAGCAAACACUAGUAGGAUCGUCGGGACUUAGUAAGUGAAUGACACAAAUCAAAAUUAAAGUGAUUAAGUUAUGCAUAAAUUACUGAUUAUUAUUUAUCAAUUAUUGAAUUACAGUGGUUAUAUGUCCCCCGAAUACGCAUUCAAAGGAAUAUUUUCAAUUAAAUCUGAUGUGUUUAGCUUUGGAGUAUUGUUGCUUGAGAUUGUAAGUGGCAAGAAGAACACUGGAUUUUAUCGAACCGACUAUCUCAAUCUGCUGGGUUAUGUACGUAACAAAAGUCGUUGCACAUAUUCUUUUUAUACUACUUAGGUGAAAUUAUAUAUUAAUUCCCACGUCAUGCUUAGGUGUGGACACACACUUUUACAAUGUGAAAACGUUUGGAUUUUUGCACCUGACUAUUUUUAAACUAUUCUCUAUAUCAAGUGUACAACUAUCUAAUAACAUCGUAUGGUUGUUCAGGCAUGGGAUCUGUGGACAAGCAACAGGGCAUUGGAGUUGAUUGAUGAUCCAGUAUUAGAAGAUGAAUAUUCCUCCAAGCAUAUGCUUUUAAGAUAUGCGAACAUUGCACUCCUUUGUGUACAAGAAAGUGCUGAUGAUAGACCCACCAUGAAUGAUGUUGUAUCCAUGCUGUCAAAUGAAGCUGCAGCAUUACUUCCUCCGAAACAACCUGCUUUUUCGUACGUAAGAAAUACAGUCACUUCAACAUCGUCCACGGGCAAGACAGAAGAUUGUUCAAUCAACCAAGUAACGAUUUCACUUUUAGAAGCGCGCUAACUUUUAUUUUAAUUCAUACACUUUGGGGUUAGGUUGUUCUAAUUACUCCUCUGAUCCAAUAUUUGAACUGAGUUUCCUGUUUUUGACUCGCUGGUACGUACCGACCAUUUCUCAGAGUUUAAAUUAAAGUUUAAAUUAAUUUUUUAUUUUUUAUUUUCUCCAAGAUUCAAACUUACUUAGGUGAUAAUGUAAAUAAGACUAUUUGAAAACUACUAUACUAAACUCCUGAGACUAAUUAUUAGAUAUUAUAUGGAGUAAUGACCCUGAUUUUUAUUAAUUCAACGGGAUAUGAUACUAUCACGAGUCUGAUAUAUAAAAGGCCAUGCAUGGAACCAUUAUUUUCGUUCAAUGGGAUCAGAAUCAAGAAACUACGAACUUGGGGGAUAAAAUCAACAAUUUGUAAACCGACAGAGGGAGAGGAUCAAAACAUAUGUAAAGUCCAAGGAGAUGAACUAGAUUUCAAUUAACGCCCUUAUCUUGCUAUGAAUUAUAUAAUUCUAAUUCAAGAGAGACACUUUUAAAUAAAAAUUUAGACGUAAUAUUCUGACCAUUAUAUUAAAGCUAACCAAAAGUUGAUAUUGAAGUUAACAUGCCUUUUUUAAGUUUUAAAAACUAAAAAAUUAAUAUAAUAGAUCUCCAUAUAAUAAUAAAUUAUUAAUUAUUCGUCUCUCUUAAUAUAUUCCCUCUUUUAUCUCUUUUUUUUCAUCCGCUUACCCUUUUAUGUCUUGCCUACAUUAAUUAGUUUGAACUUUUGCAUGGCAUCAGUGCAAAAACUUAACCGACUGAUAGAGCUGAAAUGGACUUAAAUUUUAUUUUCACUCAUUGACUAUUUUCAUGCAAAAUUAUUUUGUCCAUCAAAAUUCGUAGCAGGACAUAUAUAUUCGUUUCUAUGUGUACAUAUUAAAAAUAAAAUAAAAUAAAAUAACAAGGAGAGAAAGGAGAUCACCAAAAUCACUAUCAAAACGAUAAUGUUUUUAUCACUGUUUUGUCACCGUUUUGCAUUUUGUUCAAAUAGCAGUACACAGAUUUUGAUUGUUUAGUGUUUGCUCCUAACUCAUUCCCUUAAAAAAUUAUCUCUGUUUCUGUAAUUAAAGGUCAAAUCACAGAUUUUGAUUGUUUAGUCUGGCCGUAUAUAUUAUUUAAAGAUCUAAGAUUUUGUUAUUCUGUUGUGACUGUUUUUUCUUUGAAUCAUUACUUUGUUGGUUAGUUACACGUGCAAUGUUGAGGGGUAAAAGAUAUAUGUAGAGGGGAACACGUCAUACGAAGGAAUGGAAUGGCAAAUAUUUCUUCUUCUCUCUCCGUCUCUCCUGCUAUCUCUGUUUCUCCAUUAAUUUCAAUUCUUUUUGCUUCUUUUUUUGUUGGAGCCAGCACUUACUCGAACAGUGUAAAUCUAUGAUAUAAACUCUGAGUUGCAGAGUUAUAUCACAUUCCUCUUCGGCUGCUUUCUAAUUAAUUAACUUGGGCUACCUUUACUCUGCUAUAUUACAUACACAUUGCAACUUGCAAGUUCCAUCCCUUCUCUUCGUUUCAUUUCAACUAGUAUUAAACCCAAUCAUGAGAUCAACUUUACUCUUAUCAUGGCUUUUCUUGAUACCCUUUUUAGCUAAUUAUUUUGGGAUGCAUAUGGUUUUGGUGUCUGGCCAAUGUCAGGGCCAUCAAAAAUCGCUAUUAAUCUAGAUGAAGAACAGCUCCAUAUUUGACGUUGAAAUUAAUAAUUUAUGUUUUAUUUUGAAUUAUAAGUUAAUUACCUCUUACAAAAAUAUGAAAUAAUGAGGCUGCCGAUGUGCCUUAAAGAGCGAUAGCAAGAUUACUAUAGAAAAACACGCGCGAUCGGAUACAAAAUUGCAAUAACACAACCAAGCCAUACAUUUUAUAUGAGGAACCCAUUAAUUAUGAGAUAGAGAUUAAACAAAGUUAUGAUGAAUAUGAUUAAUUUUAUCUAUCAAAUCAAUCUAACCACUUUUUAAUUAACUAGAGACGAUUAUCAUUUUGUACAUGUGGGUCCAAUCCACAGAGAGCUUCGCCGAAGCUGGAAGCAGCGGGCAAAGUAGCGGAUACUCAUUAUGUGAUUGAUCUUUGGAUUUUCAGUCCAUGUCCUAUUGCGAUCCUUACAUUACAUAUGAAAGAUCAACAAUACAUAUAGAGCUAGCUUUAAACACCAGUUGAACAGGGAGAUAUUUUAUUAUAAUGGAGUUAACAAAAUAGAUAUUAGAAGGAUUUUUGUUUUUGAAAAUUCUAGUCUAAAAACCUUGUAAAUAAUUGCUAUUGUAACAAAAAUAUGGAAUGUGGUUUUUUCUUAUAUUAAAAGUUGGAAGGUGGUCAAAGUGUAAAUUUCCCAAUAAUUUUCCAACGUGUCUAUGAAUCUUGUGUCGGCUCUUCAUAAAACCUGUAAAAUCACUAUCAAUUGUUAGCUCUCUCCUUACGGCUUUUACAAGUCUUUGGGUUCCACGAGCAAAUUAGCGUCCAGUUCGGCGCGAGAUGAAUUACAUUCAAUCAAUUUUUUUUUUAAUUAAAAGCAAUAAAAUCACUGUCAAAUGUUAGCUGUAUCCUUACGAGACUUUUCGAAGUCUACGGGUCCCGCAAGCAAAUCAAAGUUGAGUUUGACGCGAAAACGAAUUGCAUUCAAUCAAUUUUAAGAUUUUUUUUAACAUAGUAGAGGAAUAGUGAAAGUCUAAAUUAAUUCUUUUUAUUAUACUUAUUUCAAGAUUCAAACUCACCUGAUUAAUUAAGUAAAUCUGUUUAAUUAUUGGAUCUUAUAAUGAAUAAAGACCCUGAUUUUUAUUGGUUGAAUAAGGUUUGAUGCUAAUUAAUAUACUGCAAAAGGCAGAAAGAAUCCUAAUUAAUAUAAGCAGCGAUGCAUGGAGCCAUGAUUUUGGUUCAACGGGAUCAGAAUCAAGAAACUACGAACUUGGGGAGGCCAAGAUCAACAAUUUGUAAAACGAUGGAGUAAGAGGAUCAGAACAUAUAUAGAGAUUCCAAAGAAAUGGACUAAAUUUUAAUUAAUACCCUUAUCUUCCUAUGAAUUAUAUAAUUAUAAUAUUGUAAUAAUCACAGAUUUACUAGGUCCCAACGAUUCCAUUGGUGCUUGUUUCUAACUCAUUCCCUUCAAAAUCCUAUCCCUCAUUUCAAAAUUAUUUUAAUUAGUUUCCAAGUCUACGCCUAAAAGCUAAAAACUUUUAGUUUGCUUUGAAUAAUCCUAAAAGUUUUUGCUUUAAUUUUCUCUUAUACUUACUUUGGUAUGGCUUUCUAAAUAUAGCUUAUUAAAUAGAGUUUUUAUUAGUAAAGCUUUUAUAAAUAGCGUUUUCAUAAAAAUAAUUUUAGUUAUUUGUUUGUCAAUGGAAGCUUUUAUUAAAAAUUAAAAAAUUGUUUAAUAAGCAUGUUUUUUAAAAUUAUAUUAUGAAAUGAAUGAAAUAAAAUUAUCGAAUAAAUAAAUGAUAUUUUAGGUGUUUUAACAUUCUUAAAAAUAACUUUUUUAACAUUCACUCCCAAAAACCCAAAUUUUGAGUUUUUACUAGUAGAGAAAAAAAUAACUUAUUUAAUUUUUAAAAGCUCUACUAAAUCUUAAAAGAGUUUAUAUAAUUAAAUAAGUAUUUAUAUCCAUUAGAUGAAGUAUGCCAAACAUACAUAAUGUCUUAUUUGUUUGAGAUUUCUUUUCUUCUCUCUGUUUGACAAAGUUAAUAAAAUAAUUAACAAGAAUUUCAAAUAAGGGCCUUUGCCUUCUGUCAUUGAGACAAUAUUCAUCUCCAAACUGGUUCCACCGUAGAUACAUAUUGUAUGGGCAAUAUUCAUAGAUGAUCUCUAAGAAUUCAUGCUCAAUUUUAGUUGCAAUAAGAUAUAGGCUAUUUCCACAUUAAAAACUACUCUGAGCACUCUGGUUUUAAUAAAAUAAUUUAAUUACAAAAUUAAUCAUCAUAUAAAUUACUAUUAAGAUUUAUUUAUUAAUGAGCCAAUACAACUUAAUUACUUUAAAACUCAUAUAUACACUCAUUAUUUAACAUAUAAUCUUUUAUAUCUAACAUCUUAAAAUAUAAUUCAUUGAACAUGCACCAAAUCAAUUUUUAAAUAAUUUUAAAGAUAAAAUAUUUGUAAGACUUACAUUUUUCUAGAAAUAAAAUAAACUGAAAUUAUUGCAAAGGUGUUCAUUUUUUUGUCUUUAAUUUAAAAAUAAAUAAAUUAAAGCACUCUAAACCUAAUAACCCAGUCAGCAUCUUCUUCUUCUUCUUCUUCUUUUUUGUGUCAGAUUACAAUUUGGUUUUCAAUUAUUAUUGGGGUAGUGAAGUCCAUACUUAUUGAUCUUAAAGAAUUUAUAGGUGCAAAAAUUGAUAUGGGAUACAUUCUUUAAUUAACGAAAACUGAUAAAUAAAAUUAUUUUAAAAAAUUUGCUUAAAACUUGACUUAAUUUCAUUGUUGCUAGUUAUGCUACAUUUAUUAAAACGAUUUUCUUUGAGUGUGCUGAAUAUUUUUAUUAGUGUUUUGAGUAAAUUAAUUUAAAUGAUUUAAGUAGAGAUACUUUUGGCAUCUUAAAGAGUGUACAAAAUAAAAAUUAAUUUUUCAAAUUUAGAAUUUGUGUAUAGAGUACCUUUUUUUUUUUUUCCAAAGAAGUUGUAACAAGAUAUUUAUUCGUAGUAUACAAUGAAAGACAAUGCUAAAAGAAAUGAGCCCAACCAAGUUUUAAGUGACUUACUUCUAUAGUUUUAUGCGUGGAUCUCCCACUAACUUUUUACUGUCGUAAUUUUGGACCUAUGGAAAUGGAAGAUUCCUGUAUUUGAUGCAGGCUUUAACCAAAAGAUCCAAUUUUCUUUCUUUUUUUUUUUCUCCCAAGUCUUGGCAACAUUAAUUGGUUUGAACUUUUGUAGUCUUCUAGCUCCCAGUUUAUACGUUGGGGGUGUAACUUCUAGGGAACUUCGGCCAUCCUUUUCCUGUUAAAUGAAUUCAUCGCAACUCCCAAGUUUCAUCACUCCUCUCCGAGUUUCAUUUCAGCAAUUAUUAAAACAAUGCGACCAAUUUUACUCUUAUCAUGGCCUUUCUUGAUACCCUUUUUAGCCAAUUAUUUUGGGAUACAUAUGGUUUUGGUUUCUGGCCAAUGUCAGAGCGAUCAACAAUCUUUGUUACUCCAAAUGAAGAACAGUCUCAUAUUAAGCAAUGACAGUGGCUUUCCAUCUACAAAACUGAGUCAGUGGAGUAGCCAUCAAAGCUCCGAUUGUUGUGAUUGGAGCGGUGUAAGGUGCGAUGAGGCUGGUCAUGUUAUUGGUCUCGACUUGAGCUGGGAACCAAUCAUUGGCGGACUUGAGAAUGCGACUGGCCUUUUCGAUCUUCAAUAUCUGCAGAGCCUCAAUCUGGGUUUCACUCUCUUCAAAGGAUUCCAAAUACCAUCCAGAUUGGGCAACCUGACAAAUUUGACUUACCUGAAUCUUUCCCAGGGUGGCUUCGCAGGGGAGAUUCCCACUGAGAUUUCAAGCUUGACAAGGUUGGUUACUCUUGAUUUGUCAGGUAUUGUGCCCAUAGAAUAUUCCUAUACAGUUUGGAUCGCAAACUUAAGCUUGUUUCUGCAGAACUUAACAGAGCUCACAGAACUGCAUCUUGAUCGAGUAGAUUUGUCCGCCUCCGGAACUGAAUGGUGCAAAGCUUUAUCAUUUCUGCCCAAUCUACAAGUUUUAAGCUUGUCCGGGUGUGAUCUUUCAGGUCCAAUCAAUCACUACCUGGCAAAGUCACGGUCACUCUCCGUGAUUCGUUUGCAUUACAAUUAUGGUCUGUCUUCAGGUACAGAGUUUUUGGCCCAUCUGACGAAUUUGAAGGCCUUGGAUCUCAGCGAGUGUGGGUUGCAAGGGAAGUUUCCAGAAAAGAUAUUGCACGUUCCCACACUUGAGACUCUUGACUUGUCAAUUAACCAAUUGCUUCAGGGUUCUCUGCCAAACUUUCCUAAGAAUUCUUCUCUUCGGGACCUGAUCCUCUCUCACACGGGAUUGUCAGGCACACUACCAGAUUCCAUUGGGAAUCUUGAAAAUUUGACAAGGGUAGAGGUUAGUAGUUGCAAUUUCACAGGGCCAAUUCCCCCUUCAAUGGCUAAUCUUACCCAAUUAUUUCACAUGGACUUCUCAUCUAACCAUUUCUUUGGUCCCAUCCCAUCUCUUCACAAGUCAAGAAAUCUCAACAACUUAGACCUUUCGUUCAAUAAUUUAAGUGGCGGGAUCUCAUCCACUUUCUGGGAACAACUUCUAAAUCUCCAAAUUGUUGUCUUGGGGCACAAUUCACUUAGUGGAAGUAUCCCCAGAUCUCUGUUUCUACUUCCAAAUCUGGAGAUGCUUCAGCUCUCCAACAACCAGUUCGAGAACCAACUUCCUGAAAUUUCAAACGUGUCCUCGUCUGUAUUGUUUGACCUUGAUUUAAGCGGCAACAGAUUAGAAGGGCCUGUCCCCAUUUCAAUAUUCUUUGAACUCAGAAACCUUUAUACCCUCGAUCUUUCUUCCAAUAAGUUUAGCAUAUUGAAACUGGCUUCAAGCAAACCACGGGCCAUUCCUAUUCUAAAAAACCAAUCACAACUUUCUGUUUUGGACAUUUCAGAUAACCAAAUAUCUGGAGAAGUACCAAAUUGGAUUUGGGAAGUUGGUAGUGGCAAUCUUAAGUUCUUAAAUCUUUCACACAACCUCGUAGUGAGCUUGCAAGAACCUUACUCUAUUUCUGGUAUCCGCUUCCUUGACCUGCACUCCAACCAGCUCCGAGGAAAUAUCCCUUACAUGUCACCAAAUACUUCCUACGUCGAUUACUCCAACAAUAAUUUUACUUCCAUUCCAGCUGACAUUGGUAAUUUCAUGUCUGAAACAGAAUACUUUUACUUUGUCGCUGCAAACAAUAGUCUCGCUGGAGUCAUCCCGGAAUCUGUAUGCAAGGCUACCAAUUUUCAAGUUCUUGACUUAUCAAACAACAAUUUGAGUGGCACAAUUCCUGCAUGUUUAAUCACCAAGAGUAGCAGCACUCUGGAGGUUUUAAAUUUAGGGAGAAACAACCUCAAUGGCACUCUUUCUGACACAAUAUUUCCAGGAGAUUGUGGGUUGCAAAUUCUAGAUCUCAGUGGAAAUCAACUACAAGGAGUGGUUCCAAAAUCUCUUGCCAAUUGCAAUAUGCUGCAGGUUUUAGACCUCAGGAGUAACUAUAUCAGUGAUAAUUUCCCAUGCUGGUUAAGGAAUGCUUCUAGUUUGCAAGUUCUAGUUUUGCGAUCCAACAACUUCUCCGGACACAUUAGCUGUCCGAGAAAUAAAGUCUCCUGGCCUCUGCUUCAAAUAGUCGACUUAGCAUGCAAUAAAUUCAGCGGAAGACUUUCACAAAAGUGGUUACUUACCAUGAUGGUGGCUGAAACCAAAUCCGGAUCUGAGGUGAACCACCUUGGAAUUGAGAUGCCGAGCAACCAAUUCUAUGAGGUUAGAGUAACAGUUACAGUAAAAGGUAUAGAGAUCAAGCUACUGAAGGUCCCAAAUAUAUUCACUUCCAUUGACUUUUCAAGCAACAAUUUCGAAGGGCCAAUACCAGUAGAAAUGGGACGAUUCAGAUCACUUUAUGCUCUGAACAUGUCGCACAAUGCUCUCACAGGCUCGAUACCAUCAUCUUUUGGGAACUUGAAAGAGAUUGAGUCCUUGGACCUCUCAAUGAACAACCUCAGCGGGAAAAUUCCUGCCCAGCUUGCAAGCCUAAAUUUCCUAUCGGUCCUAAAUCUCUCAUACAAUAACUUAGUGGGAAAGAUUCCGACAAGUACUCAACUCCAAUCAUUUUCACCGACUUCUUAUGAAGGAAACAAAGGAUUGUACGGACCUCCUUUAACGAAUGAAAGCCAAGCACGUCCUCCUGAGUUACCACCUUCACCGCCACCAGCUUCAAGCGGUGAAAUUGAUUGGUUCUUCAUAGCCAUGUCAAUUGGAUUUGCGGUCGGCUUCGGAGCAGUUGUUUCACCUCUAAUGUUUUCCGUGCAGGUAAACAAAUGGUAUAACGAUCUUAUCUACAAAUUUAUAUAUCGGCGAUUCCGUGUGUGAAGUGAUUUAAAUCUCUCCUUUUGAAUAAUCAUGUAAGCUAGCUUUUGCUUCUCUCUUGUGUCAUAGAUGUUUGAUAUUUCUUUUCUUCUCUGUUUGAUAGAGUUAAUAACGUUGACAAUAAUUUGAAAUAAGGGCCUAUCUAUAACUAUUGCUGAGACAAUCUUUAUCUCAAAAUUGGCUCCAAGUUAGAUCUAUAUCGGCGCAAUUCACACACAACAUAUCUUUGUGAGUCCAUACUAAAUUAAUAUGUGCAAGAUUGUGUAUGAUUCCAACUCCAAGCUAGAUACAUAGCGAUUCAUGAUCAUAUUCCAUUUGUUCACUUGGAAGUCUUGAGUUAUGAGCCCAUCUAAGAAAUGAGCCCGAAAAGGGUUGGGGGGUCCUUGUGGCCUGGCCGAGUAGUUUGAUCAAAAUAUUAGUUUAUAUUAUGUUUAAUUUGAACUCUUGUAAUUCUUCAUACUCCAGUGUAUGUUUUCUUUCUUAUUUAAGGAGGGGAGUGGAACUCUCACUUCAUAGAUCUCACUCAUUUUUUUUUUUUUUGCAAGGAGUGGAAUUCUCACUUCUAUAGGGGCCACUCCCACAUCUUCUUUUCUUUAUGAAAUACAAUAAAAUUUAUAUUUAUUAAAUAAAAUUAUAUUAUAUUAUUUAAAAUUAAAAACAUUAUAUUUAUUUAAAUAAUAUUAUUAUAUUUAGUUAAAAAAUAAAAAUUUAUGUAAUCUAAGUUAAAAUUACUUAAAAGUAAUACUAUUAUAUUCAUAGAGAAUUAAUAAUAUUACAAUAUACUAUCUUUAUUUGAAAAAUAAAAUUACUAUAUUUAUUUAAUAUUGAUAACUAAUAAUAAUAAAUGGUUUACUCUAAGAAAAUAUUAAUUUUGUAAUAUAUUAUCAAUAAUAAUGUUUUGUUUGUUUUGCUCUUAUAAUAAUUUUUAAUUUAUGUAAUUAAAAUUAAAAUCAAUAAAAAAUUAUGAUUUACAUAAUUAAGAAUAUUAAUAAUUAUUAGUAAUUUAUAUAAUUAAAAUAAUGAUAAAUUAAAUAGUUUAUUUUAUAAAUAUAUUUUUUAUUCACUUGUAAUUAGAAACUACAAUCUUUUAAAUAAGGGUAAAAAUGUAAUUUAAAAUAAUUAACUCCCAAUCCAAAUAAGAGUAAACAUAUAAAUAAGAUUAUGACUCAUAUUAUACAUUCUUCUUCCAAUGUAAGUAAACAACUUAUUUCUACUUCCGAUCCCUGAAUUCCUAAACCACACCUUAGUUGAGUGGUUUUCAAACAAUUUUAUUUAAUUGUAACUUGAGUUCAAAUAUUGAUAAAAUUAGAAUUAAAAAUUUCUAAAAAAAUUAUUUGAAUUUUUUCCACCACUCUACUUUUUAAAUAAAUGAAAAAGAAAAACUCUCAAAUAAACAAAUAAAAGCUUUUAGUAUGUGCGCCAAUAACGUUUUUAUUGUCAAUUAUUUUGAGUCAUUAGUAUUCUGCAAUUUUUAUAUUGAAUAUAGUUGUACAUAAUUUAUCUAACUUUAACAGUAUUUUCUUGCCAACUUGCAUCUCAACAGUUAGCCAAGUGGUGAACUGCAACUCUCCCAAGUCCUCUUAAAUUUUUCUCUCCUAAUUAAAAAUUAUGUAAAGAUAUGAAUUUUCUCUGUUGAUUUUGUAGGUAGAACAAAUCGCCUUCCAAUAGACGGUCUAUUGAUAGACUCUUGAUUGUACAAUACAUAUUAGUAAGGGGAAAAGUACAUCUACACUUCCAAGAUUUGGGAAAUGGUCACCAACACCCCUAAGUUUUCGUAAAAGGACACCAAGACCACUUUUGAUUAUUAUACCCUUUACCUCUAUUAUCCCAAAAAAUAGGCUUUAAAAUUUUUAAUAAAUACAAAUAUUAUAUAAAUAAUGUAAUCUAUGCAGUAGACUAAUAAUAUUAAAAUAUUUUAAUAAAUUUAAAUAUUAAACUAUUAAAAUUAUUGUAUUUAUUUUAAUAAUAUGUAUGUAUUUAUUGUAGAAAUUUUAAAUAAUAUGAAUGAAUUGGAAACUAAUCUUCACAAGGAAAGAAAAGUUAGCCUUCACAUGGAAGCAAAGACUAACCUUUAUAAAGAAGGAAGAAAAAGCAACCUUCACACGGAAAGAAAGACUAAAAGAUGAAAAAGGGGGAAAAGUUAUUAAUAGUAAAUAACACUAAUUAAUAAUUAGUAAUAGUGACACUUAAUAUAAUAAAAUUACAUGAAAUUAAAAUAAAAUUGAAUAGAAACAAAUACAGUAUCAAUUAUCACAAUGCAAUUGGUAAGUGUCUAUUUGGUAUAAUCCCAUAAGUUCCUAAUUAAAUUUUUUAUUAUUAUUUGAUUAUUUUGUUGUAGAUUUUUUCAAUAUUAAAUCAGAUAUUUGGUCUCUACUAUCAAAAGCUUAAAUCUGACCCGAACCCCAAAAGUGAAGCCGAAGCCGGGCUGGGCCGCGCGCUCACUUUUCUGCCAUCCCUUGCGCAACAAAACGCAAGCCUUGGCUGGCUGGUCGUAGUUUUUGCGCAGUUCAGUUAACAGACGUUGAUACAACGUUACGCGGGGUAUGCGCAGAGUCUUAACCUACACCCACUACAUUUCUCCUCAGUCCUCUCUAUAAAUAGCUUUUCUCUUUUACUUUUGGUUUCCCUCUUCUUUCAAAAUCAUCACCGAAUCAACAAAUAAUCUUUCGCUCUGUCACUCACUAACUAAAUAUCACGAAACGAUCAAAAAUUAGCAAAUUAAUGGCUACUUUCGGUGCUGCUGCCGUUGCCACCAAUCAAAACCCUAACAAGUCCAUCGAGGUAUACUUUAUUUAUUAUUUUCUUUAUUCUUUUUUCUUUCCGAUAAUCUUUAAAAAUUAUUGACCUUUAAAUUUUCUUGUCGGUUUCUUGUGAAUGAUGAACUUGGCGACUGUUGAAUUAAUGCUUAUGAUGAUGUUGUAAGGAUUAAGUAGAAACAUAUAGAACUUAUUUAUUAUAUAUUUUUGUCAGGUUUAAGCUUAAUUGUUUGUGUUAAUGUAAAAAUUAAUUGUACAUUUUCGGAUAAAGAAUUAUUUUUUGUUUUAAUGCUAAAUACGUAUGCUAAGCUAUGAUCAUUUGUUUGCUUGCUUUCUUGCUGAACGGAUUGUUGAAAGUGAACCAAUCGCUAAGCUUGUGAAUGUGUUGGAGUUUCAGUGUAAAAGAACAGUAGUUAGUAAGGAUUCUCAACCAUGAAAAUCCCUGUCACACCUACAAAUGCAAAUGGUUACUGUUAUAGCAUCAAUUUCGCAUGACCAUCCGGUAAUCUAAAGCAAGAUUUGUGGUAGUUAGAAUACCAUACUGUUGAAUUUGUGAUUGCUGAUAAUUUAACCUUUUUCUUGUCUUCCAAAUUUGAAGGUCCUAUGCUCAACAUUGAAGGAUGAUGGAAUUACUGUCUUCUCUGGAGGAUGUGACAAGCAGGUCAAGACAUGGCCUUUACUCUCUGGUGGUCAGCCAGUGAUUGUGGCUAUGCAUGAUGCGCCAAUUAAAACAAUACGGCUCCUAUAAGGAACCGAACCCCAAGAUAGGAGCCGAACCCCAAGAAAAGUAAGGAUUCUCAACCAUGAAAAUCCCUGUCACACCUACAAAUGCAAAUGGUUACUGUUAUAGCCUAAAGUUUCAGUAUGCAUGCAUAGGUCGUAUUAGUAUGAAUAGCAGAGACACAAACCAGAAGUAGAAUUUUACAUGAAAUAAGAAUUGUUGAAACACAUGUGGAAGGCUUGUGAUGGAGAAAAUUGUGUGAAAUAAAAUUUGGAUAUGUACUGAAAAUUGCAUAAAAAUAAGUACAAGAUGCAGAGAAAUGAAAAAAAUAUCCUCUGUUGCAGUGAUUAUAUUUGCUAUAUAGUUAGUAAUGUGUGUGCGCAUACCAGUGUUGGGUUGGGAUAGGAUACAUAUUAUAAUGUCCAAGUAAUGAAUGUAGGGUUACUAAUUUUGUGUACACAUGAAAGUUGGGUUGCAGUGAUCUGAACCAUAACUGUUUAAAAUGAAAUUGUGCCAAUGGCCGCCUCGAUAACUUGUAAAGUCGAUUGAUAUCCAUUGACAAUUUGACUUCUUAGUUGUCCAAAAAAAAAAAAAAUGAAAGAAAGACUUAUUGAAUCUUCAUCACUGCUGCUUGAUGGUAGUCGCAAGAAGUCCUGUGCAGCAGCAGGAGUUGUGGCCGAGUAUAGACUGAUCUGAAAUGGUUUAAAAAUGUGAAAUAGUUAACCGAAUGGAUUGUUUUACUUGUAAAUCUUCUCAACUAACCAGCCACAAAGAUUCCUCUUUAGCCUGCCACAGUUCAGUUGUAACAAACUACCACAGCCCAUUUCACAAACAGCCACUCUUUGUUCAUCUGUAAGUUGUGAAACUGCUGCAGCUAAUCUAUCUGGAGCACAUCUUGUCAGGAACUUUGCCUUCCCCAUGUUUGACUUCCCUACUCGUUUGGCCUCACUUUUGUACUGACACUUUUCCUUCGGUGGCAAAUUCUUAUACGUGGAUCCAAUUUCCUUUCGAAUCUACAACAUAAUCAUGGUAACCCAAAUGACGCACAACUCCACCACUGCAAUAUCAUCGUAUCACAACCGAAAUAAUUAGUCAAAACCUAUACUACCACUCAACUAUUACUAAGUUAUGAUAAUUUAUUUAUUUUUCCAUUAACAUAGCUUAGAAAUAUCUUAUGAACCCAUUGAGGCACUGCCUUUUUCUUCCCCCAUCAAUGCUUGCAUCAUCACCAACCACUUCAGUUCCUCAGUUAAUCUCACAUUCCUUCUGCUUAUUACUUCCCACCACCUUCAUUCCUGAAAUUCAGUGACAGUUAUUUCUUACCAUCAAAAUACGCUUUAUAGCACCAUAUAAAUACAUUACUAAUUCACCAUAUAAACACAAAUACAUAUCAAUUACGUUACCAUCCCCAAACGAAACUAACAAAAACAUUUCAUAUCAACUCCACAAAAAAGAUAUACAAAUUCAGCUGGUGCAUGUACCAUUACCCUCAUGUCAUCAGCUUCAUGCUUGUGAUUCACGUCAUUUAAAUAUUUGCUGCAAUUUCACCUUUCCGGUUACUAAUUUUCCACACAUGUUCACUAUAAACUUAUUAUGCAAACAUUUAUUAUCUAAAUUUAAAUAAUUCAGUAGGAUUGACAAUUGACAUGUCACAUGUCGGGUGCUUCUAUGAAAUUCUAUUCCAAGGCACAGUCAUGACUAAGCUCAAGAAAGGGACAGCAAAUGCCGCCGACACACUCAAGUUACCGAGCAUAACACCAAGCUCCUUCUCUAUCCUACUGCUUUAAAUAAGCCGUAUUGAACUGUGCUAAAUAAUCCCCAAAUAAUUUCGAUAAUUAUUGGCCUCUACUCAAUUUUUCAAUCUUUGUACGACAUAUAUUUUGCAACCAUGUAUAUGCAAAACAAUUCAUUAUUCAACUGGGUUCAAUAUUUCAAUUCAACCACCAACUACGUUGUUCAGCACAUAUCCUUAAAUUAAAUUUUAAUUUUUUUCCAUGUACUCCCAAAUUUUCCCAUUAUCCAAACGAAACGUUAAAUUUCCACCAGCCACUUAAUCAGCGACAAAUAAUUCCUAUCACUAAUCUCAAAUUCAAAUUACACUGACCUUUAAUUUUGUUAACCCAAUCCCUUAUGCUUCAUUCAAUACUGCCAUGACAAGCUACAAGUCACCACAAGCCAAUUCAAAAAUCCCACACGAGAGCGCUGCCCCAGCCGCAGUUACACCUUGCCCGCUUCAAUUUCCUUGCGUCUGAGAAACCGCAGUCAUCGAUCAAAAUGGCCAAUAAGGGUUUACAGCUCCUAAAACUAAUCUUGUACAAAGAAGCUGGUUUGGAUGGUUGCCCACUGUAAUUGACUUUUACCCUUUUCAAACCUCAUCCCUUGGAUUAAAUUAAUUAUAAUGUAACGGCUACAGUGGAUAACGACAAAAAAAAGGGGCACGGUAGCUGGGAAAUAGGAUCCUCUCCUAAUCUGAGCUCUACUGAGCUUUUAAAGAUGUUCUGCCAUGUGGUUUUUAGUAAUAGUGCAUGAAUAAGAUUGAACUUAUUUUACUUUUUUAUUUAUUAACUACCAAUCAGCAAUUAAGUUAUUUGCUCGCAGCAUGAUCAAAUAAGAUCCUCUCAUAAUCUGAGCUCUACUCAGCUUUUAAAAAUUUUCUGCUAUGUGUUUUUUAGUGGUAGUGCAUGGAUAAGAUUGAACUUUUUUUACUUUUUUUUUAUUAACUACCAAUCAGCAAUUAAGUUAUUUGCUCGGAACAUGAUCAGAUCAGGAGAGAAUCCUACUCCUAGUAGCUGGUCCCUAGUUAAUGGGGUGCUCGAGUUUUUCUAGACUACUUUUUUUUUUUUUACGAAAUUCUUACAAUUUACAAAUCUACUAAAACUCUCAAAAUAUACUCUCACUAACAUGCACAGAGAAAUCUAUCAUUUUCUGAAAGAAAUGAGUUUGUAAGACUCGAACCCACUCCCUUAACAUAUUUUGAGGAUGCAAGUGCCAUUAUUCUAGAAGCGCAAAUGCAAAAGUGGUUUCAGACUUGAAAAGUCAAAAGUAAAUUUCCAAAAGUCAAGGUACUUAGAAGUUUUUACCGAUAUUAUCACAAAGUUAAUCUUACAAAUUGUAUACUAGACGAAUGGUCUCUAAAAUUUAUAAUUAAUCUAAAAAUUUUGAAUAACAUCAUUAAAAGAUUUUCUUUUCAAAUAUUUCUAUCUAAUUAAUUUUUUAUCCUUACCUAAAUAAAACUUACUAAUUAGUAUUACUAUUCAUCUUUAUAACUUGUGGCUAUAUAUUAGUAUUUCUUUAAUUUUCUUCAAAUUAGCAUUAUCUAUCUUCAUAAUUUUUUAUGAGUAUUUUAUAUAUGAAACAUCAUAAAUUUUAUUCAUCAUAAAUUGUAAUAAAAUUUAUUAAGAUGUUCUAAUUUAAAAUAUUAAAGGUUUAUAUUCACUUGAACAUGAUUCAUGUUAUAAUAAAAUACUAUCUUAUUUAUAUUCUUUGAGAUUUUAUUAUUUAUUUAUUAUUUAAAAUUUAUAAGGGCAAGAUUGUAAAAGUAUUAGUUUUAAGACUUUUUAAGUUAAAAAAUAAAGAACUCAAUAAUUAUUUUGAAAGAUUCAAACGAAAACGAAAUAUGCCAUUCAAAUUCAGGCAUUUAGCUUUGUUUAGAUUUCAAGCCAAUUCAUAUUUAUUUAGAUUUCAAACAAAAAACAAUCGUCAUACUUCUUCACCAAAUGUCAAGUAAUUAAUUAAUUUGGGACUUUGUCUAUCUUUUCUAAUUUUUAUUUGAAUUUUUUGAAAUUGAGUCUUAAUUUUCUACUGCUACAACUAAAGUUUAGCAAACAUUGACUUUGAAUUGCCUGUAUAUAUCUACGUAGGCGCCAAUUUGAAGAUAAAGAUUGACUCAAAAUAAAUAACAAAUAACACUUACAGGUCCUUUCACUACAACUGAACUCUCUCGUCAGUCAUGAUAGGUGUAGACUUGGAAACUAAAAGUCUUCUAUAGGUGGAGAAGUCUUGUAUCUAACUUGUGAUAUAUUGUUAAAAAGGAGUCUAUGACUAUUUCAAUAGAUCUUAUUUAGUUAUUCUUUUCCCAAAAAAUUAUCGAAGCAAAUCGGUCGAUUAAUGAAUCAAUGUUUAUGCGUCGGCACGGUAGACUAGGGAUGCCAAUCUGGGUUUAUUCGAUUCAAUUUAAUGUGAAUUAAAUGAGUUUGAGUUUGAACAAAUUAAUUCGUUUAAUAAAUAGGUAAAUUCAAUACGAUUCAUUAGUUAAACAAAUUGAAUUCAGGUUUUAUUCAUUCAGGGUUCAUUUAAUAAAUACGUCAUAAACGAAUUAAAUACGAUCCAUUUAUUUAAAAUUAAUUUGAUUAAAUUACUUAUUUUCUUUAAAUAUGUAUGAAAAAUUUUAAAAUUUCAAAGCUAUUAUAGUAAUUAUAAAUGAUAAUAAGACAAAAUAUAUAGUAAUUCGAUUCGUUAUGGAUUCAUUAUAGAAUAAAUGAGUAGUAAAUAAAUUCAUAUUUGAUUCGAUUCAUUUAUUAGUUCUACUAAACGAAUUAAAUUAAUCAAAUCGAAUAUUGUUUAAUAAACAAAUCAAAUUCAAAUCCUGAGGUUUGCUUAAUAAAUGAAUCAAAUCCAAAUCAAUAGUGUUUUGACCCAAUUUGUUUACGAUUCAAUUUAAAUUUGAUUCAUUUAUUCAUUUUGCCGCCCUUGCAAAACUUAAUAUUAAUCUCAGCCUCAUUUAUUUUAUAUGUUCUGAAGAAAAAUCUUAAAGACCUUGUCACUUUCUAAUUAAUUAUUUCUUACAAAGAUGGCCCAAGGAAAUUAUGUACACCCCAACGUAUAAGUUGGGAGGUGCAAGUAGAAAUUAACUAUAAAGCAGCUGAGGAGGACUUCUGGUCUGCAGGAAAACAACCGACCACCAAUUUUGUGGCAUGAAAAUAGUGAAUGAGAUUGUAGAUAAAAUUUAAAUGAAUGAGAUGGUGUGGAUAGUACAUGAUAAAGUUAAUUUCAUUUUUUUUUAUCAUUAAUCCUUUUUUUUUAUUUGGGUGUUAAUUAAUUGAGUUGGUUAAUUUUUUUUUUUGUCUUAAAAAUAAGAUGUUUGAGGUUCCAAAAAUAUGUGAGGAGGAAAUUGAAUUGUUUUUUAGCUUAAAGGAACAACAUAAUUUAAAUUUUGAAUAAGACUUCAGUGCUGAGCUAUUUUUUGUUGAAUUAUUGACAAGUAAAAUAUAAAAUUAAAAAUAAAAAUAAAUCUUGACCAAUGAUUCCAUACUGAAUCCUAAUCUAUCAAUUUUUGCUUGACACUCUACAAAAGUUCAAACUAAUUACUUAGAAGGAUAAUGGAGAAAAAAAUUGAAAGCUAUGGUUAAAUGCCAAUAAUUGACAAUAAAACAUUGGUGCAGAUACAAGCAUAAAAGUGCUUUCAUACGGUUUGAUCUUCUAGAUUCUACUUUCUACUCUUAUAAACUUAUAAGUGAUCAUGAACUGCAUGAGUCUAUUAUCCACAGCGUAGAGUUGGUCAUAGACAACCUUGCACUUAAUAAUUUGAAACAAAAUGUCUUGCUACAACUAAAAUCUAGCAUGGACUCUCGAAGAUUAAUUAUCUAUGAAAUAUUGACCAGCUUGUGGCCAAUUUAGAGAAAAAGAUUGUCAUCGUAGACCGUUCACGUCAACUGUAAACUCCGCUCAUCAGUGAUGAUAGGUGUUAGAGUUGGAAACUAGAGUUUUCGUGUACGUGAAGAAGUCUUAUAUUUAAAUGUUUCUGUAGGUAAUUCCAUAAAAAGUAAUGAUAUAGGUACAAAUUCUUGCACAAACUUAUUUUAUACAAACUAAUGUGACGUUAAUUAAUUGGUUGAAUUAAAUAUCUCUGAGCCCACAUAAUUUAUUUAUAUUAUUUUAUAUUUUCAUUCAACCAAUGAAUUAAUACUACAUCAGUUUGUACAAGAGUUUGUGAUUGUAUCAUCACUCUUCCAUAAAACUAACUAGUGACAUAUUUAUUAAAUUACUUUUUUAUGACUACCUUUGAUCAUAGGAUUGUUUGAUCAUAGGAUUGUUUACUAGUCUUAUAUUUAAGUCCUCUUUGGCUUUUUUCUAAAUACAUGAACUAUACACGUCACAACAUUUGGAAUAAUCAUUUGAUCGAUCUCAAUGGAUCGUUUUGCAAUCUUCAUUAUUGUUGUUCUCUUGGUGUCUGCUGUCUUCUUGAUAUUAGCAUGUAAGAGAUUGUAACAUUUUCAUAUUUUGGUUUGACAUUCUUGAAUAAAAAGGCUUGCCCUUUUUUAAGAAAACUGCUAACCGUUUAAUCCCAGAGAGCAUGUUUUCUUUUCUACAGAAAACGGCUAACUGUUUGGAGAAAACGGCUAACUGUUUGGAGAAAACGGCUAACCAUUUAGUUCAAAAGUUAUUUGAAAGUUGACAUUCUGGAAGAAAAUGGUUAGCCAUUAGAAAACGGCUCGCCGUUAUUGAGAAAAUGGCUAACCAUUUUCUUCCAGAGAGCGUGUUUUGGCAUCAACUGAAAAAAAAAGGCUAGUAGGUUUUGAGGAAAAAGAAAAACCGGUUGUGAAUAGAUGCAAAUUUCAAACCAAAGAGUGUCUUUGAAGAAGUACCGUUUCUAAUGGUUGUAAUUUUUCAUAAAAAUAAUUUCUUCAUUAAAUUAGACACUCAUAUUAAAAAAAAAAACUGGAUUAUUACAGAUUUCAUGUGUGUUCUUGAAAUACAAUCUUAUUUGCUAGAGAUUGUAUUCAGGAUUUGAUAAAUCUUGGGGGUAAUUUGCCAUUAAACUCUAUAACAAAUUAAGAGUGGUGAGGGGAAAUAAAACCUUAAAGAAAAGUGUAUAAACACGUCUCAAAUCCUAAGAAAGUUUCCUUGUUCUUUGCCUCCAUAUUUGAAGAUCCACCAACAUAGCAUUCAUUUCUGGUUUAUCUAAUGGAGUAGAUUGAGUUCGUCUUGUUUUCCUUGUCGAUCACUCUGGCAGCAGUGGCCACUUUAGGCAUGAUUUUCUAUUGUGUGAGGAGAAAGCCCAGAAGCAGAGGUAAAAGUUCUCAUUUAAUCGCACGAUUUUGAGAGUCUAAUAUGCUAACAUACAUAUACAUAUCGUAAUUAAAGCUUUAGUUUCUUCACCCUUCAGGAGAGGAUUUGAUCAUGUUUGAUUUGGAUUUGAACCUGAAAGCCAACACGUUAACAUAGAGCUUCCUGUAAACAGUAAUCUGACAAAAAGAAGCAAAAAGAAGGAAGUUGAUCAAAUGCCUUUAUUCAGUUUUUCCAGUGUUUCUACUGCAACAAAUAAAUUCUCCGACGCAAAUAAGCUCGGAGAGGGCGGCUUUGGACCCGUUUAUAAGGUACUACAGAUAUCAUUUUCUUUGGAGCGCUAAUUUCAUUUUUAACAGAACUAUAAAUUUACCAUCUGCAGGGAGUGUUAAAAAAUGGAGACGAGAUAGCUGUGAAACGGCUUUCAGGAAGAUCUGGACAAGGAUUGCGAGAGUUAAAAAAUAAGCUUCGGUGAUAGCCAAGGUUCAGCACAAGAAUCUGGUUAGACUUUUGGGCUGCUGCAUAGAUAAAGACGAGAAGAUUCUGAUCUAUGAGUACAUGCCUAACAAAAGCUUGGACUUCUUUCUUUUCGGUUAGUUAUUGCAUCUGUUAAUUUAUUUUUCUUACAUAUUCCUCUCUUCAAAUUUUAUAUUCAAAUUUUAUGCAUACAUUUGUUUGAACUACUAUUUAAUAUAAAAUUAUAUAUCAAAAAUUUAUUUAAACUAGAAUUUAGUCCAUGUUACUUAUCCAAAUUUUAUUCAUUAAUUUAUUUAAAAUAGCAUUUAGCAUUUAAUUUAAGAUUAAAUAUCAAAAUUAUUCAAUUUUUAAUUUAUAUUGAAAUUGAAUAUCUAAAAGAAUAUUUAAUAAUUAACAAUAUAACUUUAAGAAAUAAUCAUACUUUUUAAAUAGUUUUUUUAACUUCCUUAAAUUGAAUUUAAUAUGAUCCUGUCCAACACUAAACCAAAUACAAGACAUUACUAUAAAAUAAUUUAGUCUAAUUCAAUCCAAUUCAAUCUUAAUAACUAGUCCAAUCCAAUCCUUUAUUUUGCAACAAACCUAACCUAAAAGAAUAUUUAGUAUUUUCUAUUUCAUGUAGCUAUUUUUAAGUUUAAUGAUUAACACAAUCGAAUUAUCAGAUUUUAAAAAAAAAAUUAAGUUGCUAGAUCAAUUUACAUCAAAUUAUGUGGUCUACAUUUUUUUGUUUUCAUGCAUAAUGACAUUUAGUCUUUUUGUUGUAAAUUAGAUCCAACCAAGUGAAUGUUAUUAGAUUGGGUAACACGUGUUCGGAUUAUUGAAGGGAUAGCUCAAGGGCUUCUUUAUCUUCAUCAAUAUUCCAGAGUGCGAAUUAUUCAUCGAGAUUUAAAAGUUAGUAAUAUCUUGUUAGAUAAAGAUAUGAAUCCCAAAAUAUCAGAUUUUGGAAUAGCAAGAAUUUGCAGAGGAAAUGAGUUACAAGCAAACACCGGUAGGAUCGUCGGGACAUAGUAAGUAAAUGACAAAAAUCAAAAUUAAAGUGAUUAAUUAGUUAUGCGUGAAUUGCUGAUUAUUAUUUAUUGAUUGUUGAAUUACAGUCGUUAUAUGUCCCCUGAAUACGCAAUCCAAGGAAUAUUUUCAAUUAAAUCUGAAUGUGUUUAGCUUUGGAGUAUUGUUGCUCGAGAUUGUAAGUGGCAAUAUCGAACCUACUCUUUCACUCUGCUAGGUUAUGUAAGUAACAAAAGCCGUUGCACAUAUAUAUUCUUUUUUAUAUUACUAAUUAGGUGAAAAUAUAUAUGAAUUCCCAAGCGUGGACACGCACAAUGUGAAAACGUUUGGAUUUUUGCACCUGACUAUUUUUAAACUAUUCUCUAUAUCGAGUGUAGGACUAUCUAAUGACAUCGUAUGGUUGUUUAGGCAUGGGAUCUGUGGACAAGCAACAGGACAUUGGAGUUGAUUGAUCCAAUAUUAGAAGAUGAAUAUUCCUCCAAGCCUAUGCUUUUAAGAUAUGUGAACAUAGCUCUCCUUUGUGUACAAGAAAGUGCUGAUGAUAGACCCACCAUGAAUGAUGUUGUAUCCAUGCUUACAAAUGAAGCUGCAGCAUUGCUUCCUCCAAAACAACCUGCUUUUUCGUAUGUAAGAAAUACAGUCACUUCAACAUCGUCCACCGGCAAGACAGAAGAAGCGCGCUAGCUUUUAUUUUAAUGUGUAUCGAGUCACUUCAAAAUCUUGAGUGCUAGCUGUUAGCCUUCUCUUCCCGUUCAUUUUAUACCGUGCAUGUGUCUUUCAGUCAGUCAUUAUAAUUAAAUGUAAUAAUGCGAGAAGCGAAUACAAUCAUGGGUUGGCUCUUCUUAGACCAAUAAAAUCACUAUCAAAUGUUAGCUCUAUCCUUGCAAGACUUUUCGAAGUCUACAGGUCCCGCAAGCAAAUAAAGUUGGUUUUGACGCGAGGACGAAUUGCAUUCAGUCAAUCAUUAGAUUUUUUUUAUUAUAUUAAAAAGUGGAGGAAUGAUCAAAGCUCAAAUUAAUUUUUUAUUUUCUAUUUUCUCCGAGAUUCAAACUUAAUUAGGUGAUCAUCUCAAUGAGACAACUUGAAAACUACGGGGUUGAGCUCCUGAGACUAAUUAUUAGAUAUUAUAUGGAGUAGUGACCCUGAUUUUUAUUGGUUCAACGGGGUCUGAUAUUAUCACGAGUCUGAUAUAUAAAAAGCAAUGCAUGGAACCAUUAUUUUCGUUCAAUGGGAUCAGAAUCAAGAAACUACGAACUCGGCAAGGCAAAAUCAACAAUUUGUAAACCGAGGGAGUGAGAGGAUCAAAACAUAUGUAAAGUCCAAAGAAAUGAACUAAAUUUUAAUUAAUACCCUUAUCUUGCUAUGAAUUAUAUAAUUCUAAUUCAAGAGACACUUUUAAACAAAAUUUUGGACACAAUAUUCUGACCAUUAGAUUAAAGCUAAGCAAGAGUUGAUAUUGAAGCUGACAUGCCUUUUUUAAGUUUUAAAAACUAAAAAUUAAUAUAAUGGAUCCUUAUAUAAUAAUAAAUUAUUGCUCGUUCUUCUCUCUCUUACUUAAUAUUCCCUCUUUUGUCACUUUUUUUUUUCUUUGCUUACCCUUUUUAAGUCUUGCCUACAUUAAUUAGUUUGAACUUUUGCAUGGCAUCAGUGAAAAAACUUAACCGACUGAUAGAGCUGAAAUGGACUUAAAUUUUAUUUUCACUCAUUGACUAUUUUCAGCAAAUUUAUUUUGUCCAUCAAAAUUCGUACCAGAGCCACUACUGAAAGUAGGAUAUGGCUUCCCCUUCAAUGUCUUGUGUAACCCAAAUUGAAUCAAUACAUCUUUAAUUUGAAUUUGUCACAAGCCAAAGUUGAUAUUCCCAACAAAUUCUUCUAUUUCAAUUUUCACUGAACUUGAAAUUUUCAAUCCUGACAUAUUCGCUUUGCAGAUUAGCUUUGCUCUUUAUCAGGGACUAUUUAGAUUGGGUCUCAUUGCUUCACACGAAUAGUGCUGUAUACGUGAACAGUAUCGUAUACAUGAACAGCACCCCUGACACCAAAACUUCAAUCAAUAGCUCUGAUACCACUGUUAGGAAAUUGAGAUUUCUCCCAAGAUCACUCCAAGUAAUUUGUCAAGAAAUAAAUCAAUAGAAAAAUUAAAUUCAAAAUAAUAUCAAUCGCAUAACACAAGAUUUACGUGGAAAACUCCAAAUCUGAAGGAAAACUAUGGCUGUUGUCAAGAGACAACCAGAGAAAAAUAUUCACGAUGUGAAAAAUUAUUACAACCACACUUUCAUAAAUAAUUUACUCUCAGAAAUAAUUUUCUCUCACCCAAGCUCUAAAUACACCCAAAACUCUCAAUUUAAGAGUAAUUAAAUUCAACUCUCAAAUUCUCUCUAAAUAUAAGAGGAAAUGAAUUCUUUGGGAUGAUAAAAUCUUAUGAAAGGCUCUCUUAUUUAUAACCAAGUGGAUAAUACUGUUCAAACCGCAUUACUAUUAAUGUCGCAUUACUGUUCAAGCCGUGUGGUCAAACCGUGUUACUAUUCACCGCAUGGUAAAACCCGAUUGUUGAGUGUUAGAAAAUGUAUAUUUAUAAAGGAGAAAAUCGUCAUUUUACAUCUCAAGUUCCACUAACAUUCCUACUUUUAUGUAUUUAAGUUUCUUGUGAUUUAAUUAUGUGUGUUGUAUUAUAAUUAAGUAUUUUAUGUAUUUUGGGAGCAUCAUAGUCAUUUCACAAUGAACGAGAAAUCAAACGGCUAAACAGACAUCACUUUUGAACUCAGGACAGUCGAAAACCUUAGGAGGAGCAUAAAAGGAAAAAUGUCAUUGUUCACAUGUACGGUACUAUUCACAUGUACGGUAUUGUCUACGUUACUGUUCACGACACUAUUCACAUAGACAGACCGAUGAUGUGGCAUUGACUGAUGAGGUGUCACGAUUCCAUUGGAGAAAAUUCUUAUGCACUGUUGAUCGGUGACGUGGCAGCAUAUUAGUGGACCAAAAAUUACGCGUACGGUACAUGCAUAUAAACAGGAUUAUUUUCAACCAAACCGCGUCACUGUUCAAGUCGGUUGACUGUUCAAACCGCGUACUGUUGACUGAUGACGUGGCGCAAUUCUGAACGUCCAAACUAUUUUUAAUCUGAUAGUCAUGAUUUACUCAAUGUAUCUAUAAAAAAAGGGCCUCCUCCCCUAAUUUGGCAUCUCUCUGAAUCCAUUUUUGGGCUCCAUUUUUUGUAAUUCCUUCUUCAUCUUGUAUUUUCUACGUAUUUUAAUAAAUUCUCAUUUUGCCCUUAGUUCAAUUAUGAGUAGCUAAUUUUCUUUCAAGCUUGGGUUGAAGGUGAAGUCUCAACAUGUGUCAUGGGCUUUAUUUGAUAAAUUUAAUUUCUCUUCCCCUCUAAUUAUUGUGGAUGUUUUGACUUUUCCUUGACAAAUAGUAAUAAUCUUGUCUAGAUACCGCCCUAGUUUCACCGGCUCCCUAGUACGAGAUUAUUAUUAUUUGGCACAAUAAGCCCUUAGCACCAUAUUGAUUAGAGCGUGGUUCAUGAGUUGUGGAUUCCCCCCCUCAUGAUUUAAUUGACACUAAUAAGGAAUAUUUAGCCCAUGGUACAUGUUGAUGCGGAUUCAGAUACCCAAGUGCUUCAAUUAUUAUAGUUUUUGCUUCAAUUUAUUCUCGUCAUUUUAAUUCAAAUUCUAAGAUAGUCUAAAUCACUUUCACCAUAAAACCAACCAGCCAUUUAGAAAAAUUAAUUUUACACACAAUUAAAAUCCACAUCCUCGUGGGAUCAACACUCGUCACCAAUGAUCUAUUCUAUAAUAGAUUCGUGCACUUGCGAGUUCAAUAAAAUUUGCACAACAUCUAUUUUUAACAAUUCUCCCACUUGAAGAUUAGAAUGAGAACCAAUCAAUCUCCACGCCAUUCUUACUAUUUUCACCUUAGUCAUAAUCCUCAAUAAAGAGAAUUAUCAUACUCUACUAUAAAGAGUAUACCACUUAGAAUUAAUUACCAAUUUUAGGAAUUUUACAUCGGCUCAUGUCGAAAUAUUCUGCUGAAAUUUAUGGUGCAACUUUCUUGUUGGCUUUCCUGGAAGUUUUUCAGCCAUCAACAUAAAUUCCACCACACACCCUACAACAAUGCCAACCAUGCAUUGUGUGCAAAUCUUGCGGACCCGCUAGCAGUGACACAUCCACUUCCAUAACACUAGCAGCAUACCAUAGAGAUGUCAUCAUCAUUUAUUUUACAAGGGAGCAUCAUCUCCCAUAAUAAUGAGAGACUUACCACUAGCAAUGCUAUCAGUAUCUUAUUUGGAGCCAGUUGCCGACCCUGCUUCAUUUCUCCUAUGACAGUCUCUUUUUAGGUGCCCUAAUUGUCCACACCCCCAAUAGACUCCUUUGUUCUUAAAUUUAUCUUUCUUCCAAUUGCCAAAGCCGAGACAUCUGUAGUUUCAGUAUUUUCACCACUCAGUCUUCUUUCUUCCAAGAGUAAAGUAGUAGCAACUUCUUCAACAUAUAUUGUCUCAUUCACAUACAUUAAGUAAGUGAUAGGUGUUUGUAGGAAGUUGGAAGUGACCAUAGCAGCCUAAGCAUCUUGUCCUCAUCUUCAAUUUUAACUUCAAUGGCUUCUAGUUCUGUCAUAAUACUAUUGAGAACAUUGAGGUGAUCAGAAAUUUUUGUUCCUUCAACCAUUCGCAGCGUGUGAAAUUACUUCUUCAGGUACAAUCGAUUUGGGAUGCUCUUUGUCUGAUAUAAUUUUUUUAGCCUCUCUCAAAGCUCUUUCACUAUAGGAAUAUUUCCUACAUUUGCAAAAACAUUCUUUGCUAGACAUAGUCAUAUGGAACUUGCAAUUCUAUCAUCCAACUCUUCCCAAUCUUCAUCGCUGAUACUAGCUUUUAGAGAGCCACUACUAGAAGCAGGGGAUGGCUUCCCCUUUAAUGCCUUAUGUAACCCAGAUUGAAUCAACACAUCCUUAACUUAAAUUUGUCAUAAGACAAAGUUGAUUUUCCUAUCAAAAUUUUCUAUUUCAAUUUUCACUGAACUUGAAAAUUUCAAUUCUGACAUAUUUGGUUUGCAUAUUAGCUUUGCUAUUUAUCACAGACAAUUUAGAUUGGCUCCCAUUACUUCAGGUGAACAAUACCGUAUACGUGAUAGUACCCCUGAUAACUCUAGGAAAUGAGAGUUAUUACAUCAAUUCUAAACUUGAAUCAAGAUCACUUAGAGAAUAAAUAAGGUGUUUUUAUUACAUUUUGGUUGCAUUUUCCAUAAACAUUCAUUUUAGUCGAGUCUUAAUAAGUUUGCUUGAAUCAAAGUAAUUUGUGCUAAAAACAAGUGCAUAAUUGUAGGUUCUCAGAAAGUCGUAAUAUAUGAGGGGAUGUUGAGACUGUAGAUGAGCAAGAGGAGGAAAGAAGAUGGCCACAAAAGAAGAAAAGCACAAUCAGGAAUAAUGCAGUGCUGUUGAGGAUGUUAGAGCAACCUGUGUUGUAGCAAUCUGGGAGCAAUGCGGGAGAAAACUUAGGCGCGGGUCAGCACAUGUUUCCUAAUUUAACGCAUGCAUGCUAAUAGGGCUUGUGUUUACCCUAAAUUGCAAUAUAAAAGGUAGGCAUGCACCACAUAGAAAUGCGGCAAGGGAAUCAUUAGAAUAAUUACAAAGGAAAAGAAGAAGAAGAUCGGAAUUGAAGAGUGUUGUUUUCGGCAACAUUGGAGAAUAAUGCAGAAUUACUUGGAUUUGUUUUUCACCGUGCUCAACUUAUAUUUAUCUUCUUCCUUUAAUUGUUUUGAUGUAUUCCGAGAUCAAAAUAUUUAUGUUUAUUUUUCUCUUUCAGAUUAUAAACUAAAUUUACUUGUAGUUGAGUGACAAAUAAUCCAAUAGGUUCUUGAUUGUUCUUAUAUGUUGUGAUGGCACUGUUGUAGCAUUUUACUCUAGUAGUUUUGUAUAAAUAUAAUUGUUAUUUCGAUUGACCACCUAUUUAAUAGUUUCAGUUAGGAUAGAGCAGCAAAAGGGCAUGUCUUAGCGGAUAUUAUUAGAGUACUACUUGAUCUUACGUUGAGUUUCCUGGAUUAAGUUAUCUUGAAUCCCAUAAGGGCAAUACUUGAAGUUAAGAUUUGUGACACACUAGAUAUAGGUGUUCACCUUGUAGGGUGGAGAGAUUGAAGGUUAUAAUGCUGUACCACAACCAUAUUAGCAACUGGUCAUUGUUAAUAGAUUUAAUGGUAUGAGACAUCCAACAUGCGAUAGCUGAAGAUGCAAGUUUAUUCUGCCCAGUGCUGCAGCACUUGUUGUAACAACUGGUGCUAACUUGAUAAACAACAGUCACCCCAUUAGAAGAAUUUGAUCAUUCAACUACUAUAAUCCCAAUUGAAUCUUAGACACAUUUAACUUAGUUUAUUUCGUUACGGUAUUAUUUUAUUUAAUUCUUUCACAAUCCUCAAUUACUUUGGAAAUUACUUUACAAUUGUUUAUUUCGGUCCUAAGUUGAUUUGCACUAUUGUGAUUGCUUUAAUAUUUUGAGUAACAUCAAUCCAUGUGGAGACGAUCUUAAAUACUUAUCACUUUAUUACUUGUUGUGUAUACUUGCACAUUGGCAUUGGUAGUAAUUGUUGUGUAAAUUUUAAUGUACUCGCAAGCGCAUGAAUCUAUUGUAGUAUAGAUCAAUGGUGACGAGUGUCGAUCCCAUGAGGAGGUGGAUUUUAAUUAUGUGUAGAAUUAAUUUUGCAAAUGGGUGGUUUAGAUUUGUGGUGCAAGUGAAUUAAAUUAUUCUAAAAUUGGAAUUAAAAUGGCGAGAAGAAAUUGAAGAGAAAAUUACUAUGUUUGAAGCGCUUGAGUAGCUGGAUCCGUAUCAACAUGCACCAUGGGCUAAAUAUUCCUUAUUAAUACCAAUUAAAUCAUGAGGGGGGAAUCCACUCCUCAUGAACCACGCUCUAAUCAAUAUGGUGCUAAGGGCUUAUCGUGCCAAAUAAUAAUAACCUUGUACUAGAGGGCCGGUGAAACCAAGGCGGUACUAGACAAUAUUAGUAUUAUUUGUCGACGAGAAGUCAAAACACCCACAAAAACUAGAGGGGAAGAGAAAAUAAAUUUACCAAAUUAAGCCCAUGACACAUGUUGAGACUUCACCUUCAACCCAAGCUUGAAAGGAAAUUAGCUACUCAUAAUUGAACUAGGGGCAAAAUGGAAAUUUAUUAAAAUAUGAAGAAAAUACAAGAUAGAGAAGGAAUUACAGAAAAUGGAUCCCAAAAAUGGAUUCAGAGAUAUCAAAUUAGGGGGGAGAGGCCCCCUUUUUAUAGAUACAUGGAGUAAAUCAUGGCCAUCGGAUUAAAAACAGUUUGGACGCUCAGGAUUGCGCCACGUCAUCAGUCAACAGUACGCGGUUUGACCACGCGGAUGAACAGUAAUACGGUUUGACCCGGAUGAACAGUAACGCGGUUUGGUUGAAAAUAAUCCUGUGUGAUGCAUGUACCGUACGUGAGAUUUUUCGUCCACUGAUAUGCUGCCACGUCACCAUCAACAGUACAUAAGAAUUUUAGCCCAACAGGAUCGUGACACCUCAUCAGUCAAUGCCACGUCAUCGAUCCGUCUAUGUGAACAGUGUCGUGAACAGUAACGUAGACAGUACCGUACACGUGAAUAGUACCGUACAUGUGAAUAGUACAAUUUUUCCUUUUAUGCUCCUCCUAAGGUUUUCGACCGUCCUGAGUUCAAAAGUGAUGUCCCAUUUUGCCGUCUGAUCUCUCCUUUAUUGUGAAAUGACUAUAAUGCCCCUAAAAUACAUAAAAUACUUAAUUAAAAUAAAACACAUGUAAUUAAAUCACAAAAAGGUUAAAUACAUAAAAGUAAGGGUUGUUAGUAAGACUUGAAAUGUCAAAUGACGGUUUUCUCCUUUAUAAAUAUGCAUUUUCUAACACUUAACACACCCCCCAACCAGCUUAUUGCUAGUCCCUAGCAAAUAAAGCAAAAACAAAAUUCAAAUUCAAAAUGAUAUAUAUAUAUUUUUUUUAGAAACACUCGUGUUUAUUCAAUCAGAUUAAUGAUAGCAAUCAAAUAAAAGUAUAAGCAUUAUCUCCAGUCUAAAGCAACAUCACACCCACAUCAACCAUCCACAUGAAUCAGCCCAAUAGACUUUGUUAUAGCUACUUUCAAGAAUGACAUGUCAAACCCCAAAAUCUCAGUGGAAGUAGUGACACUCUCACAAAGAAAUUAAACCCAAUAAAAAUAGUCACUCCAAUAAAUGGUAAUUGAGAGAAAAUAAUGAAGAAGUGAUAUCACAUGCUCUCACCAAGAUAAAAUAAAUAUGCCCUCAGCUUAGAAAUAAUACGAUCUCAAGUCAAAUAAAAACUGUUAGUCAACCCAAUUUAUUUAUUUAUUAUUUUUUUUAUAUUUACCACUACAUCUUUUUAGCCCACAUAACUAGCUUCUACUUCAAAUUAUACUUCCCUAAAAUCAGGAAGGACUUUUAUUAGGAUGUAACGUAGGCUAGGGACAUGGUUAACAAAGAAGGGAAAUAAGGAAAACAAAGUGUAUGUUUGAGAAAAAUGCAGAAUUUUUUUUUUUUUGGAAGUUGCAAGGUGGAUUUCACCUAUUAUUGUUAUUUUUUUUUUGUUUUUGCUCGGCACAACGUCACUAAAUAAAAUAAUUAUUUACAUUUUCUCAAACAUAAAUAGGUGAUGGAACUUAUAAGACAUCGGGUAAUACUCCAAAUCGGAGUGGGUCAAGAUGAUAAGUUGACAAAGAAAAGGUUUUUUUUUUUUUUUUAAAGGCUCAAAAGGGUUAACUAUGGAUAUUUAAUAAAAAGGAUGGCUAGAAAGGCUCAAACGGAUCAAAGAUGGCCUUUCCAUCGUCUUUUAGGGCUCUAAAUAAUCAUCCAUAUCUACUAGUUAGAUGGGCCUCCAAAUAUAGCAACACACAUUUUUUUCUUUCUUUUUUUUUUAAUUUUACAAUUUUUUUUAAGGGUUAACUCAAAAGAAAUCUAGAGAUCGUGUAUACAAUAAUAAACUGUUAAGUUGUAUAAAGAAUGGGCAAAAGGGUUAAUCAUGUCAUCCAACAAAUCACACAAAUUUUUUUUUUUAAACAACAUUCUACCCCCCCAACCUAUUCUAAGCAUGAAAGGAAAAUAUGCAUGCAGAAAUGUGAAAAUGAUGCAUAAAAACUAAUUAAAAACAAAUUACACGUAAAAUGAUAGAAAACGAAAAUGGUUUUUUUUUUUUAAGAAGAUGCGUUUCUAGAGGCACUACACUCCAUAUUCAGCCAUCUUCGACUCACAAGUUGGAAAAUGUAUAUUUAUAGAGGAGAAAUUAAAAAGAAGAAAAAUAAACAUAAAAACAUAAUAAAUAAAAAGAAAAUGUCUGAAAUUUUUUUUUUAGUAUUUUAUUUUAUUUUUUAAAACGAUGAAGAUGCGUUUCUAGAGUCACUACACUCCAUAUUCAGCCAUCUUCAACACAAAAAGUUAGCAACAGUUAGUUUCUACAACAAAAAAUUAGUAAAAACUUAAUCAAAAUUCCACAAUUGUCGACUAUUCCCUCCCCCCAACCAGAACGAAACAUUGUCCUCAAUGUUUGAAAGGAAAGAAGUAGAGUUUAAAAGACAUCACUUGGGUGGUGCAACACAGAAGAAAAUAUUUAAAAGCGGAGAGUUAAAUCUAAUUUGUACUUCUCAUUGCGGCUACUGUUACCAUCAUUAUUUGGGCGCUCCAACACAAAGGUCCAGGGGUCUGGCUCCGGUUUAUAAGCUUGUAACAGAUCAAGUAGCUCAUUAGCAGUGUGAGCACAAAUAAAAAGUUUUUUCGCAUUAGAGGGAAUGAAAUAAUUUUUUAUUGCAUGGUUAAGAAAUGCGAUAAAGCCAUCAUAAAAGUUAUUGACAUUUAACAAACCGAUGGGUUUCUGGUGGAUGUGCAGAUGGGCCCAAGAUGCUAGUGUGAUAAGUGCCUCUAGUGUUGCAAGAUCUCCUGGAAGGAAAAUAAAAGCAUCAGCAUGAUUAAGCAUUUCAGUUAUUCUUUCUUGCAUACCUGAGACGACUAACUCUUCUCCAGUUGAUGAGUCAGACGAACUGCCCAAUGGUUUUAAGACUCUUGGGAUGAUGCCUAACACUUGACUUCCUCUGACAAAAGCUGCUUUAGAGACCAUUUUUGAUAACCCUCGGUUACCUCCUCCAUACACCAAGUGUAAUUUUCUCGCUGCUAUGCUUCGACCAAGAUCUAUGGCUGCCUCAACGAACUCUUUAUGUUUGCCAUAGGUAAAUCCAGAAAGCACACAAAUGUUCUUGAAUUGUCUAUUUGGAGUAGCUGCCAUUGUGAUACUUCUCAAAAAUAAUUUGUGAGUGCUUGACAAAAAAAAAUCACAUUUAAGAGUCUUAGUGACAGUGGGUCACAGUUGUGUAUGAGGUAACAUGUCAGUGUCAAAUAACGCGUAAAGCACGUGGCUCGCGAGUCAAAAAGGAAACAGUAAUAAAAUUAUUAAAGAUAAUAAUGCACUCAAUAAAACAAUAGUGCAAUAAAAUAACAGUAAAGUAAAAGGAUAUUUACAGGUAGUUGCGACUGUGGCUCACAUCUUCCUCUGGUUUUACGUCCAGAAACAGCUUGAACGCCCUCAAUGGGUCGAGGAAAGGCUUCCCAUCCAGUUUUCUUAUAAACUGGCAAACAGGGUCGUUUAUAGUCAGAUUCCCGAGACUAUAUCAUGCAUACUCUUUCUGGAAUAAUGGCCAUAACUGGAGAAUCGCUCCUUGCACAUAUCCACUGGGAUGCGUUUCAAGAGACAGAAGGAUAUCAUCCAAUGACUCCUUAUUCAAGUCAUCCCUAAUGAAUUGAAUCUUAUCUUCCCUGUUAUCAGACACCAUUCCUAAAGAACAUGGGUUUUUAUUGCAACUCAUCCUGGCACACUUAUGACAAGCAACAGAAAUUCUUCGAGCUCGUCGUUUUCUUGCAUAAUUUCCUUUACCACAACCAGGCAUGUAUGCAAUAAAUUUUGGAGGUAACUCACCUGCCAAUCGUACUUUGGCCUCGAUUAACCAACGGAUGUUAGCAGGUAUGUUAUUCAUCAUGAGUAAUCGCAUGCGUUCGGACCGAGCUUUAUAGAUCGUAAGGAGGGCAUUCUGAGGAAGUGAAGGGAAUUGCUUGUGAAGCUUCGCUAGAAUCUCGUUUCUGUUCAUACUUUGGCCUCAGAAUAUCAGUUAUUAUAGGAAACUGAAGUAACCGACUUGAUUGUCACGGAGUACCGUUAUCCGCCACUUCACCGGGGUAACAAACUAAAGCACACAAACAGAAAAACAAAUUAAAACACACAGAAAAUUAAAAUCGUCCUCUUAUUGAAUUUACCUCAAGCUCCAACUGGAUAUCUUAAACACUUCUCUCAAUAUCUCUGAGUUGGCUUUCUAGACCCUCAACAUAGGCUACUAACUCUGGUGGUUGUAGAGCCCAAAUGCGAUGUGUUUUACAAAAUUGAAUCUGCCUUUUGAGAUGAGUUUUGACACGUUGAAGUGGUUUAAGAAUGUUCAGGAGGAACGGUCUAAGUAAGAUACUCAUGAUUAAAAAUGAGAAAAGAAAACUUAAUAGUUAAACAAACACACUUAUGCAAAAAUAAUUUCAAUUAGCAGAAGAAUAAUAUAAAGAAAGAAAAAAAAUCAAAUCAACGAAAGGAAAAAAAAAAUCAAUUCAAAUCUGGUGGGUCACUCAAAUUUAUUUCGGUGUCUUCUCCAUGUGGUUGGUACUCUAAAUAUGGCUUUAAUCUUUGACCAUUAACUUUAAACGUGACACCGUUCUUUGGGUCCUUAAUUUCAAUUGCCCCAUGUGGAAAAACAGUAUGAACAAUAAAGGGACCAGACCAUCGAGAGCGUAACUUACCUGUGAAUAGGUGCAAACGAGAAUUGAAUAAAAGCACUUUCUGACCUAGAGUGAACGAUUUUCUCAUAAUUUGCUUAUCAUGGAAGACUUUCAUUCGUUGCUUGUAAAUCUUGACAUUUUCGUAUGCGUCAUUGCGAAUUUCUUUAAGUUCUGCCAGUUGUAAUCUUCUUUCUGAGCUGGCUUGCUGCAUGUCAAAGUUGAAUUUCUUGAUGGCCCAGUAUGCACGAUGCUCGAGUUCCACAGGUAGGUGGCAAGCUUUUCCAUACACUAGUCUGUAGGGUGACAUCCCAAUCGGGGUCUUGAAAGCCGUUCUAUAUGCCCAUAAUGCAUCAUCAAGUCUUAAUGACCAAUCUUUUCUGUCUGGCCUCACUGUCUUUUCUAAUAUGUGCUUUAUUUCUCGAUUGGAGAUCUCAACUUAGCCACUGGUUUGAGGAUGAUAUGGGGUCGCCACUUUGUGUGUGAUUGAAUACUUUGUCAAAAGAGCCUUGAAUGCUUUGUUACAAAAGUGGGCACCACCAUCACUGAUUAUUGCUCGAAGGAAUCCAAAGCGUGAAACAAUGUUGCUUUUCAAAAAUGCUAUCACCACCUUGUGAUCAUUGGUCCUACAUGGAAUUGCUUCUACCCAUUUUGAUACAUAGUCAACAGCAACCAAUAUGUAUUGAUGGCCAAAAGAUGGGGGAAAGGGUCCCAUGAAAUCGAUACCCCAUACGUCAAAUAUUUCAACCACUAAAAUUGGAUUUAAUGGCAUCAUGUUCCUUCGUGUAAUGCUCCCCAUUCGUUGACACCUAUCACAUGAAAAACAGAAAGUGUAGGCAUCUCGAAAUAUAGUUGGCCAAUAGAAACCACAUUGUAAAACUUUAGUCGUUGUUUUCUUAGCGCUGAAAUGGCCUCCACAAGCUUGUUCAUGGCAGAAUGAAAGGAUAUUUUGAAUUUCACUUUCUGGGACACAUCGUCUAACAAUUUGGUCUGCACAAUACUUGAACAAAUACGGGUCAUCCCAAAAGAAAUUCUUUAUUUCCGCAAAGAAUUUAGCCUUGCCUUGCUUGGUCCAAUGCUCUGGAAGUUGACCUGUAACAAGAUAAUUAACGAUAUCAGCAUACCAUGGUAAUACUUCCACACUCAUUAAUUGUUCAUCUGGAAAUGACUCAUUCAAUAUUAAUGGCUCUGUAAUUGUGUCAAAAUGGAGACGAGAGAGGUGGUCCGCCACAACAUUUUCUGUCCCUUUCUUAUCUUUGAAUUCUAAGUCAAAUUCCUGCAAAAGUAACACCCAACGAAUUAGUCUAGCUUUUGCAUCUUUCUUUGUGAGAAGAUAUUUAAGAGCAGCAUGAUCUGUGAAUAUAAUUAUUUUACAACCAAUGAGAUAAGAUCGAAAUUUUUCUAAUGCAAACACUACUGCUAGCAUUUCUUUUUCAGUAGUUGAAUAGUUCAACUGUGCAUCAUUCAAUGUCAUACUAGCAUAGUAAAUAACAUGGGGAAUUCGAUCAACUCUUUGUCCUAAUACUGCUCCUACUGCAUAAUCAGAUGCAUCACACAUGAGCUCAAAUGGUAAGCUCCAAUUUAGGGCCUGAAUGAUGGGUGAUGAUGUCAACAAUUGCUUUAAUUUUUCAAAAGCCACAAGACAUGAAUCAUUAAAGAUAAAAGGUACAUCCUUAGCAAGUAGAUUGCACAAGGGUCUAGAAACUUUGCUAAAAUCUUUAAUGAAACGUCUAUAAAAACCAGCAUGCCCAAGGAAAGAUCUUACUUCUCUGACUGUUUUAGGUGGAGGAAGAUUAGAAAUGAGAUCAACCUUGGCUUUGUCAACCUCAAUACCUUUGCUCGAAAUGAUGUGACCGAGAACAAUAACUUGUUUUAUCAUAAAAUGGCAUUUCUCCCAAUUUAAGACCAAGUUUUUCUCGAUAUAUCUCUGCAGAACUAGUGUUAGAUGAUGUAAACAUUGAUCAAACGAGUCACCAAAGACAGAAAAAUCAUCCAUAAAGACUUCAAGGAAUCGUUCAACCAUAUCAGAAAAAAUGCUCAACAUGCAUCGUUGAAAUGUAGCAGGUGCAUUACAUAAUCCAAAUGGCAUUCUCCUAUAUGCAAAUGUGCCAAAAGGACAAGUGAAAGUGGUCUUCUCUUGAUCUUUUGGUGCUAUGGGGAUCUGAUUGUAUCCUGAGUAGCCAUCUAGAAAGCAAUAAAAUUCAUAGCCUGCUAAUCUAUCAAGCAUUUGAUCAAUAAAUGGUAAAGGAAAAUGGUCUUUACGUGUGAUAGAAUUCAACUUUCUAUAAUCAAUGCAUACACGCCAUCCUGUAGUUACUCUAGUGGGUAUCAAUUCAUUAUCAGCAUUGGUAACUACUGUGACUCCUGACUUUUUAGGGACAACUUGUACAGGACUGACCCAUGAACUAUCAGAAAUUGGGUAAAUGAUACCUGCGUCUAAUAGCUUAAGGACUUCUGUUCUAACAACUUCUUUCAUAUUAGGAUUUAACCGACGUUGCAUUUCCCUAGUAGAUUUAGCAUUUUCAUCAAGGUGAAUGUAAUGCAUGCAGUCUACUGGAUUUAUACCUUUUAUGUCCGCUAUGGUCCAUCCUAAUGCUCCUUUGUGCUCUUUUAAAACAUCCAACAACUUACCUUUUUGUUCGUCAUUUAGGGAUGAUGAGAUGAUUACCUGCAGAGUACUUUCUUCUCCCACAAAUGCAUAUUCCAAUGUGUUGGGCAAUGGUUUGAGCUUGAGUUUCGGUGGUGAUUCAGAUGAUGGGAUGAGUUUCUUUUCUGAUGGUGCUAGUUGUUCAACUCUUGACUUCUAUUUAUUAGUGUCCAUGGAUGGUGCUGAGUCAAGUAAGGCGUUGACCUCAUCGACCGAUCUGUCAAUAUCAAAAUCCAAACCAAAGUGAGUUAAACAUGUUUGUAAAGGAUCAUCACUAAGGUUUGAAAGAAAAGUAUUAUCAACUAUUGUUUCAAUUAAAUCCACAUCAACAAUUCCAUCAUAUGCACUGUGAGGUUGUUUGGCAAUGUUGAAAAUGUUUAGCUCCAUAGUCAUGUUGCCAAAGGACAACUGCAUAUUUCCAGUUCUGCAUUGAAUGUGAGCAUCCGCAGUUGCCAAGAAAGGUCGGCCUAGAAUAAUGGGGAUGUGCUUCCUCGAAUCCUGUAUUGGUUGAGUGUCAAUUACAAUGAAAUCAACAGGAAAAUAAAACUUGUCUACCUGGAUAAGCACGUCCUCCACAAUACCACGAGGUAUUUUCGUGGACCGAUCUGCAAGCUGUAACACCACUGGAGUUGGGUGUAAUUCCCCCAGUCCAAGUUUCAUAAAUACUGAAUAAGGCAACAAAUUUACACUAGCUCCUAAAUCCAACAAAGCAUUCUCAAUUGUGUGGUUCCCUAUGCUACAUGAGAUAGUGGGGGAGCCUGGGUCUUUGCAUUUUAAAGGAAUUUUAUGUUGGAGUAUAGAACUAACGUUUUCUGUUAAAAAUGCCUUCUUUUGAACAUGCAUAUUUCUCUUUUUAGUACAAAGGUCUUUAAGAAACUUGGCAUAAGAUGGAACUUGUUUAAUCGCAUCAAGUAAAGGGAUGUUAACACUUACCUGUUUGAAGAUUUCAAGAAUCUCACCUGUGGAUUUUCCCUUCUUUCCUUUUGCUAACCUCUGAGGAAAUGGAGCUUUCGGAAUGUAUUCUCGUGGGUUGGUUUCUUCUUUCUCCUCCGGUGAUGAGUCGUCAACAUUUACAGGUACAAUUUGAUUUUCUUUUGUCACCGGCAUCUCCACUUUGUUGUCGACUUCUUUUCUUUUUCGCAAGGUCAUGACUGCUUUGACUUCUCCAUGCUGCUGUGGUGAACUGGUACUUGCUUCAUGUACUCCUUUAGGGUUAGGCACUGGUUGACUUGGAAACUUACCUUUCUCAACAGUCAUUGCCAAGGUCUGAACUGAAGAAGCAAGUUGUCCCACCAUCUUUUCGAGGCUUGAAACUGAUUGGGCUUGUGAAUUGAAGCCUGCUCUCAACUCAUUUCGUAGUCCAUCAAUGGUGCGUUUUUGUUGCUCAAUUGUGGAGUGAGUAACAUUCUUGAAAUUCUGGAAUGCAUCCUCCCAUGGUCUGGGUUGAGAGUAGUUUUGGUUCUGAUUGAAUGGUCUAAAUGGGGGCUGAGAGGCUUGAGGAACUUGAGGAAUUUGUUGCAUUGGUGGAGCUGGAGCUGCUGGUCCAUUCUGUUGGAAUCCUUGAGACCAUGAAAAAUUGGGGUGGUCUCUCCAUCCAGGAUUAUAUGUGUUGGAGUAUGGGUUGUAAUUUGAUGGCUUUCUCAUUACACCUAUGGCAUUGGCUUGAUCUGAGUAUGAGUCAUGGUCAUGUGGUUCUGUUGAUUUAGCAGUCGAUAACGAUGCUAUUUGUCGAGCAAGACCUUCAACCAUCUCCUUGACUUCUUUGAUUCCCGAAGUUGACUCGCCAAUUUGAACCUCAUUUACUCCUUUAAUUCUUCUACUAUUCUUGAGUGAUCGACUCCGUUGUUAGGAAUUAUCCGCUUGUCGCUGGAAGAAUUCCCAAAUCUCUGAUGUACUUUUUGACAUUAGCUCUCCUCCACUUGUUGCCAUUAGCCAUUCUUACACAUUCGGCAAUAAUCCUUCCAAAAAGUAUUGGCAUUGGUGCCAUUUCUCGUCCCCAUGAUGUGGACACUUUAAGAGUAGCCCAUUGAAUCGCUCCCAUGUUUCGAAAAAUUGAUCGUCCUCUCUCUGGGUAAACUCUGAAAUUUCCCUGCGAAUAGCAUUGGUUUUAUGCACUGGAAAAUAUUUAUUCAAAAAUUUUGUUACCAUUUGUUCCCAUGAUGCAAUGCUAUUAGCAGGCAAUGUAUUAAGCCAUGAACGAGCUCUAUCCUUUAAAGAAAAUGGGAAUAAUCUGAGUUUAACAUCAUCGUCUGAAAAAUUUUCAUAUUUAAAAGUUUGACAAAUGGUAUGAAAAUCAUUCAGAUGAUUAUAUGGGUCCUCAUUUUCUAGGGCAUAGAAUGUUGGGAGAUAAUUUAGCACACUAGGUUUUAGUUCAAAACUCCUAGCAGCUACAUUUGGGUAUCUUAUGCAUGAUGUGCUCAAAUUAGCUAAAGGACUGAAAUAAUCCUUGAAUGGCCUCUCCUGUGGUGCUUGUAAAUCCAUUCCAAAUUUAUUUUUAAAGUGCUUGUGUGUGCGAAGUGUUUUUUCUAGCUCAAGGUCUAUAGGUUCAAGAUUAGGAAAUAAUGACCUACGACCAUAUAUGCAAAACAAAUAAAAUAAAAUAAAGAUGGGAACAAAACAAAUAAAAAUAAAGAAGAAGGAGAAAUUACGAUACUAACCUUAUUGCACUAUUACAACCUUUCUAUAAAAAUACACAAAAAUAAAUACGUGAAAUAAAUUAACUAAAAAUUAAAUUAAUAAAAUAAACAAAAAAUUACAAAGAAAGAAAAAAAAUAAAUUGAAAAUUAAAUUACAAAAUUUUAAAGAAGAGGAAAAGAAAAGAAAUACUAACCUUUAAUUUUAGAUUCACUUUUUUUUUUCUUUUUUUUUUAAAGAAAAAAAAUACAAGAAAACAAUUAAAAUGGAAUUAUUCACAAAAAUUAAUUCUGUGAAUUAAAAUUACUUACCUCCCCGGCAACGGCGCCAAAAACUUGUUGUGUAAAUUUUAAUGUACUCGCAAGCGCACGAAUCUAUUGUAGUAUAGAUCAAUGGUGACGAGUGUCGAUCCCACGAGGAGGUGGAUUUUAAUUAUGUGUAGAAUUAAUUUUGCAAAUGGGUGGUUUAGAUUUGUGGUGGAAGUGAAUUAAAUUAUUCUAAAAUUGGAAUUAAAAUGGCGAGAAGAAAUUGAAGAGAAAAUUACUAUGUUUGAAGCGCUUGGGUAUCUGGAUCCGUAUCAACAUGAACCAUGGGCUAAAUAUUCCUUAUUAAUACCAAUUAAAUCAUGAGGGGGGAAUCCACUCCUCAUGAACCACGCUCUAAUCAAUGUGGUGCUAAGGGCUUAUCGUGCCAAAUAAUAAUAACCUUGUACUAGAGGGCCGGUGAAACCAAGGCGGUACUAGACAAUAUUAGUAUUAUUUGUCGACGAGAAGUCAAAACACCCACAAAAACUAGAGGGGAAGAGAAAAUAAAUUUACCAAAUUAAGCCCAUGACACAUGUUGAGACUUCACCUUCAACCCAAGCUUGAAAGGAAAUUAGCUACUCAUAAUUGAACUAGGGGCAAAAUGAAAAUUUAUUAAAAUACGAAGAAAAUACAAGAUGGAGAAGGAAUUACAGAAAAUGGAUCCCAAAAAUGGAUUCAGAGAUAUCAAAUUAGGGGGAGAGGCCCCCUUUUUAUAGAUACAUGGAGUAAAUCAUGGCUAUCGGAUUAAAAACAGUUUGGACGCUCAGGAUUGCGCCACGUCAUCAGUCAACAGUACGCGGUUUGACCACGUGGAUGAACAGUAACACGGUUUGACCCGGAUGAACAGUAAUGCAGUUUGGUUGAAAAUAAUCCUGUGUGAUGCAUGUACCGUACGCGAGAUUUUUCGUCCACUGAUAUGCUGCCACGUCACCAUCAACAGUACAUAAGAAUUUUAGCCCAACAGGAUCGUGACACCUCAUCAGUCAAUGCCACGUCAUCGAUCCGUCUAUGUGAACAGUGUCGUGAACAGUAACGUAGACAGUACCGUACAUGUGAAUAGUACCGUACAUGUGAAUAGUACCAUUUUUCCUUUUAUGCUCCUCCUAAGGUUUUCGACCGUCCUGAGUUCAAAAGUGAUGUCCGUUUUGCCGUCUGAUCUCUCCUUUAUUGUGAAAUGACUAUAAUGCCCCUAAAAUACAUAAAAUACUUAAUUAAAAUAAAACAAAUGUAAUUAAAUCACAAGAAGGUUAAAUACAUAAAAGUAAGGGUUGUUAGUAAGACUUGAAAUGUCAAAUGACGGUUUUCUCCUUUAUAAAUAUGUAUUUUCUAACACUUAACAGUAAUUGCUUAUAAAAAUUAACCAACAACCCCCGACGCCAAAACUUCACCCAAUGGCUUUGAUACCACUGUUAGGAAAUUAGGAUUCCUUCCAAGAUCACUUGAAACAAUUUGUCAAGCAACAAAUCAACAGAAAAUUAAAUUGAGAACAAUAUUAGUAGCACAACACAAGAUUUACGUAAAAAAACUCUAAAUCUAGAGAAAUAUCACGAUCGUUGUCAAGAGACAGCAAGAGAAAAUAUUCACUAUGUGAAAAAUUAUUCCAACCAUACUUUCAGAAAUAAGUUUCUCUCACCCAAACCCCAAAUACACCUAAAAAUUAUUCAACUCUAAAAUUCUCUUUAAAUAUAAGAGGAAAUGAAUUCUUUGGGAUGAUAAAAACUUAUGAAAAGCUCUCUUCUUUAUAAACAACCGAAUAACACUAUUCAAACUGUGUUACCACAUAUGUCGUGUUACUGUCCAUGCCACGUUAUUGCUCAAGCCGUGUUACUAUUCACCGCGUGGUCAAUCUGUGUUAUUGUUUACCACAUGGUAAAAUCAUAUUUUUAACUCCUUGGAUCUCAACUAGUGUGAUUUGCGUGGGAAGUUUCCAAAAAAGAUAUUGUAGGUACCUACACUUCAGACUCUUGACUAGGGAUGGCAAUUUCCGGGUUCGGGUCCGGGUUUGGCUGUUCCGGAUCCGGACCCGGACACAAAAUUCUCAUAACCGGACCCGCAUUAAACCCCCUUUUUUUUAAUCCGGGUCCGGUCCGGGUUCAACCCGGAAAAAUCCGGGUUUCCGGAUUCCGGGUUUUGAACCCGGAUUGCUUUAUUUUUAUCUUCUAUUCUUCUGGCCAACAAUGCAAGGUGUUCAAAACAACGAACAUGGUUAGUGCCAAGAUGAUGAUUGAGUAAUGUUUAUUUUAUUUUAAUAUUAGCCUCCAUAUUUUUUGCUUCCAAAAAACGUUGGCAAAACCGCAGAAGGAAAAAAAAUUUACUCAAGAAAUAAUAAUUAACAAAAUAAACAUCAAGCUUUUCUAAAAGAACAGAGCUGGCUUGUUGGUAAAAACUUGUUAUAUAGCUGUUUUCCCAAGUGCCGUCGAUUAUGUCAUUAAUUUUUCUUUUUUGUAAUUUUCUUUUUUUACUCUUAAAUCUUGAUCAACUACAUCAUCGAUUCAUUUCCAAUUCAACAAUAAAUUAUAAAUCCAAAAAAAUAUGUAUUGUUUUUAUACUAUCCAAGACCAAACCAAAAUUCAUGUUAGGUAAGACGGCACUUACAAACGUUGAAUCUUCUCAAUUGUUCAGCCCUAACAAACCCAAGCAAAAAUUUAAUAUUCCAUCCCCUAAAUAAUUUAGACCACUGCCACCAGCUGUCAAAAUUACCGAUCAUGUCUAGUAAUCAAUUCCAGCUGUCUCUAUUCUGCAUAUGCUUAAUGCUCUCAUCUUUAGUCUCCGCACACAACUCUUAACACCGUGUUCUAAAUGAUACUGAAACUUUAGAUAAAAGAACACGCAACGCCAAAAACUAAUUGUGGAACACAUCCGCCAUAUGAUGAAGAAGAAGAUGAGGAUCCCAGUUGUGAAUUUCAACCCCUUUUGCUGGCCACGACAGAGUGAGAGAUGAGACAAGUGAUGCUGAUGACUUAUGAAACGAACACAGCCGCACCGUGAAGGUGAUGACAGGCCGCGCCACGAAGGAUCUGAUCUGAUCUGAAGAAGAGAUUACAUGAGAGUUGAAGAGAGAGUGAGAGAGAUUAAGUGAGGACUGAGGAACAGGUCACGGGUGAGAGAGAUUGAGAGAGGAACGGAUGAGACUUGAGAGAUUGAGAGAAGAAAUUACAGUAGAGUUCAGUUGAAGAGAGUGAGAGAUCGAGAAUUCGAGAUUUCGAGAGAGGAAUUAGAGAGAUUGAGAGAUCUAGGGUUCGCUUUUGUUUUUUUUUUUUCUAUUUAUAUUUACGGAUUUGCGAAUAAAAAUUAAUAUUAAAAUAAAAAAAUCCGGGUCCGGGUUCCGGAUUUGUGGGUUCACCUGAAACCGGAUCCGGACCCGGAAACAUGCGGGUUCUCAAAAACUUAUCCGGAUUCCGGAUAAAAAUCAUUCCGGUGCGGGUUGAACCCGGACCGGAUUUUCCGGGUUCAGUCCGGGUCCGAUCCGGGUCCGGGUUUGGUUGCCAUCCCUACUCUUGACUUGUCAUACAGCUCAUUACUUCAAGGUUCUCUACCUAGCUUUCCUGAGAAUUCUUAUCUUUGAAACCUGAACCUAGCAAACACGAGCUUCUUAGGCACACUACCAGAUUCCAUUGGGACCCUUGAAAAUUUGACAAGGGUAGAUCUUAGAAGUUACAAUUUCACAAGGCCAAUUCCCACUUCAAUGGCUAAUCUCGCCCAAUUAUUUCACAUGGACUUCUCAUCAAACCAUUUCUCCGGUCCCAUCCCAUCUCUUCACAAGUCAAGAAAUCUUAACUAUUUAGACCUUUCAUCCAAUAAUUUAAAUGGUGGGAUCUCACCCACCUUCUGGCAAAAACUUUUAAAUCUCAAUAUUUUUGUCUUGUCGCACAAUUCACUGAAUGGAAGUAUCCCAAAAUCUAUGUUUCUAUUUCCAAUUCUAGAGAUACAUCUGCUCUCAAACAACCAGUUUGAGAACCAAUUUCCUGAAAUUUCAAAUAUGUCCUCUUCUGUAUUGCCUGGCCUUGAUUUAAGUGGCAACAAAUUAGAAGGGUUUCUCCCCAUUUCAAUAUUCCCUGAACUUAGAAACUUUCAUACCCUCAAUCUUUCUUCCAACUAGUUUAGCAAAUUGAGACUGGCUUCAAGCAAACCAUGGGUUAUUCCUAUUCUAAAAAACCAAUCACAACUUUCUUUUUUUUUAUAUUUCAAAUAACCAAAUAUCUGGAGAAAUACCAAAUUGGAUUUGGGAAGUUGGUGGUGUCAAUCUUUAUUUCUUAAAUCUUUCACAGAAUCUCCUAGUGAGCUUGCAAGAACCAUACCAUAUUUCUGGUAUAUGCUCGCUUGACCUACACUCCAACCAGCUCCAAUGAAAUAUUCCUUACAUGGCACCAAAAACUUCCUAUGUCGAUCACUCCAACAAUAAUUUUCAUAGGUAGAACUUACUCAUUUUCCACUAUAAACAAGAGUCUCAUUGGAUUCAUCCCUGAAUAUAUAUGCAAGGCUACGUAUUUUCAGGUUCUUGACUUAUCAAACAAUAAUUUGAGUGGCUCAAUUCCUGCAUGUUUAAUCACCAAGAGUAGCACCACUUUAGGGGUUUUAAACUUAAGGAGAAACAACCUCGGUGGCACUCUUUCUAACAUAAUAUUUCUAGGAAUUUUUGGGUUGCAAAUUCCACAUCUCAGUGGAAAUCAACUAUAAGGAGUAGUUCUAAAAUCUCUUGCCAACUGCAAUAUGCUGCAAGUUUUAGACCUCAGGAAUAACCAUAUUAGUGAUAAUUUCCCAUGUUGGUUAAGGAAUGCUUUUAGUUUGCAAGUUUUAGUUUUUCGAUCCAAUAACUUCUCUGAACGCAUUAGUUGUCCAAGAAAUAAUGUCUCCUGGCCUCUGCUUAAAAUAGUCGACUUAGCAUCAAAUAAAUUCAGUGGAAGACUAUCACAAAAAUGGUUACUUCCCAUGAUGGUUAAUGAAAACAAAUCCAAAUCUGAGCUUAACCACCUUGGAUAUGAGACAUGACGCAACCAAUUAUAUAAAUUUGGAGUAAUAGUUACUGUAAAAGGUGUAGAUCAUACAACUAAAGAUCCCAAAUAUAUUCACUUCCAUUGACUGUUCAAGCAACAAUUUCGAAGGGCCAAUGCCAGAAGAAAUGGGACGAUUCAAAUCACUCUAUGCUCCAAACAUGUCGCACAAUGCUCUCAAAGGCUCGAUACCGUCAUCGUUUGGGAACUUGAAACAAAUUGAGUCCUUGGACCUCUUAAUGAACAACCUCAGUGAGAAAAUUCUUGCCUAGCUUGCAAGCCUAAAUUUCCUAUUGGUGCUAAAUCUCUCAUACAAUAACUUAGUGGGAAAGAUUCCGACAAGUACUCAACUCCAAUCAUUUUUACCAACUUCUUAUGAAGGAAACAAAGGAUUGUACAUACCUCCUUUAACAAAUGACAGCCAAACACAUCCUCCUGAGUCACAACCUUUACCACCGCCAGCUUCAAGCAAUGAAAUUGAUUGGUUCUUUAUAGCCAUAUCAAUUGGAUUUGCGGUAAGCUUCGGAGCAGUUGUUUCACCUCUAAUGUUUUUUGUGCACGUAAAGAAAUGGUAUAACGAUCUUAUCUACAAAUUUAUAUAUCGGCGAUUCCGUGUGUGAAGUGAUUUAUAUCUCUCCUUUUGAAUAAUCAUGUAAGCUAGCUUUUGAUUUUCUCUUAUAUCAUAGAUAUUUGAGAUUUCGUUUCUUCUCUGUUUCAUGAAGUUAAUAAAGUUGACAAUAAUUUAAAAUAAGGGCCUAUCUAUAAUUGUUACUGCGACAAUCUUUAUCUCAAAAUUGGCUCCAAGUUAAAUCUAUAUUGGCGCAAUUCGUACACAACAUAUCCCGUGAGUCCAUACAAAAUUAAUAUGUGCAUGAUUAUGUAUGAUUCCAGCUCCAAGCUAGAUACAUAGCGAUUCAUGAUCAUAUUCCAUUUGUUCACAAGGAAGUUUUAUAAAGUAGAAAUAAGAAUUUAAAAGAUAACAUUUGAGGAAAUGUGUGGGUUAUGAGACCAUCUAAGAAAUUAGCCCAAAAAGGCUUCAGGCCCUUAUGGCCUGGCCGAUUAGUUUGUUCAAAAUAUUAGUUUAUGUUGUAUUUAAUUGUUAGAAUGAGAGUAGCGAGUAUGGAUUCUUCCCACUCUAGUGUUUUCUUUCUUUUUUAAUGAGAGGAGUGGAAGUCUCACUCCUUGGAUCCCACUCAUUUUUUGAGUAAUGAAUUGGAUUCUGACAUCUAUAGGGAUCACUUCCACCUCUUCCUUUUUUAUCCUUUCCUUAUCAAAUAUAAUAAAAUAAUAUUACAUUGUUUAAAAAUAAUAACAUCAUAUUCAUUUAAAUAAUAUUAUUCUAUUUAGUUAAAAAUAAUAAUUUAUGUAAUCUAAGUUAAAAUUACCUAAAAUAAUGCUACCCACAUUCUUGAUUGGCCGGCACACCAACCUUUUCUUUAACCUCAAAAUGACUUUAAAUUUAGAUCAAUAAUUUCUUAGAGGCAUUUAAACAAACCAUUAGUAUGCCAUUUAUUAGAUAUCUUAAUCUUAAGAAAACUAUAAUAUUUUCAUAUCCAAUACAUAUCUAAUGAUUAACUAUGAUCAAUGAUCAAUCAACCAAGCAAUUUAAACAAAAUUUAUUCUAAAUUAAUGAAAAAAUCGAGAAAGUACAUAAGCCGCCGAAACCGGAAAUGAAGGAACUUGCUAGAAUCAAACUAUAACUCACACAAAUAACAAUCGGAAGUGAAGCAAAUCGCCGCCGAAAGUGAAGGAAAUUGCUGGAAUUCAAGAAACGCUAGAAGUGAAGAAACUCCUACAUGUGUAUAUGGGGUGAUGGGAGAUGUUUUUGGGCGAUGUUGGGUGAAAUAUUUUUUUUUUUUUGUUUAGUUUUGAGAAUUUAUGGAUAUUUUAGUUUAAGAACCUUAUAAAUGAUUGCUAUUGUAAGAAAACAUGGAGUGUGGUUUUUUCUUAUAUUAAAAAUUGGAAGGUGGUCAAAUGGGUAAAUUUCCCAAUAAUUUUCCAACGUGUGUAUGAAUCUUGUGUUGCCUCUUCAUAAAACCUGUAUUGUUAGCUCUAUCCGUACGGCUUUUACAAGUCUGCGGGCUCCACAAGCAAAUUAGCGUUCAGUUUGACGCGAGAUGAAUUGCAUUCAAUCAACUUUUUUUAUUACAAGCAAUAAAAUCACUAUCAAAAUUCAAAUGUUAGCUCUAUCCUUACAAGAUUUUUUGAAGUCUACGGGUCCCGCGAGAACGAAUUGCAUUCAAUCAAUUAUUAGAUUUUUUUUUAAUAUAGUAGAGGAAUAGUGAAAUUUAAAUUAAUUUUUUUAUUAUACUUAUUUCAAGAUUCAAACUCCCGUAAUUAAUUAAGUAAAUCUGUGUAAAAAUCACUUGGCCAAGACUCUUUGGGACUAAUUAUUGGAUAUUAUAACAAAUAAAGACCCUGAUUUUUAUUGGUUCAGUAGGGUCUGAUACAAAUUAAAAUUAAUAUACUGGAGAAGGCAGAAAGAAUCCUAGUUAAUAUAGGCAGCAACGCAUGGAGCCAUGAUUUUGGUUCAACGGGAUCAGAAUCAAGAAACUACGAACUUGGGGAGGCCAAGAUCAACAAUUUGUAAAACGAUGAAGUGAGAGGAUAAGAACAUAUAUAGAGAUUCCAAAGAAAUUGACUAAAUUUUAAUUAAUACCCUUAUCUUCCUAUGAAUUAUAUAAUUAUAAUCUUGUAAUUAUCACAUACUUACUAGGUCCCAACGAUUCCAUUAGUUUCCAAAAUCCUAUCCUUCAUUUCAAAAUUAUUUUAAUUAGUUUCCAAGUCUACACCUAAAAGCUAAAACUUUUAGUUUGCUUUGAAUAAUCCUAAAAGUUUUUGCUUUAAUUUUCUCUUACGCUUACAUUGGUACAACUUUCCAAAUAUAGCUUAUUUAAAUAAAGUUUUUAUCAGUAAAUCUUUUAUAAAUAGCGUUUUUAUAUAAAUAAUUUUAGUUAUUUGUUUGUCAAUGCAAACUUUUAUUAAAAAUUAUAAAAUUAUUUAAUAAGCACGUUUUUUAAAAUUAUAUUAUGAAAUGAAUGAAAUAAAAUUAUCGAAUAAAUAAAUAAUUUUUAGAUGUUUUAAUAUUUUAAAAAACGUUUUUAACCUUUACUCCCAAAGGCCCAAAAUUUGAGUUUUUGCUAGUAAAGAAAAAAUAACUUAUUUAAUUUUUAAAGGCUCUACUAAAAAAAAUCCAAACAAUGAAAAUAAAUCUUAAAAGAGUUAAUAUAUUUAAAUAAGUACUUAUAUCCAUUACAUAAAAGUAUGCCUAACAUACAUAAUAUCUUAUUUGUUUGAGAUUUCUUUUCUUCUCCUGUUUGAUAAAGUUAAUAAAAUAAUUAACAAGAAUUUCAAAUAAGGGCCUUUAACUUAUGUCAUUGAGACAAUAUUCAUCUCCAAACUGGCUCCAAGCUAGAUAUAUAUUGUACGGGCAAUAUUCAUAGACGAUCUCUAACAGUUCAUACUAAAUUUUAGUUGUAACAAGAUAUAGGCUAUUUGCACCUUAAAAACUACUCUGAACACUCUUGUUUUAAUAAAAUAAUCUAAUUACAAAAUUAGCCAUCAUAUAAAUUACUAUUAAGGAUAAUUUAUUUGUGAGCCAAUAUAACUUAAUGACUUUAAAACUCAUAUAAUACACUCAUUAUUUAACAUAUAAUCUUUUAUAUCUAACAUCUUAAAAUAUAAUUCAUUGAACAUGCAGCAAAUCAAUAUUUUAAAUAAUUUUGAAGACAAAAUAUUUGUAAGACUUACAUUUUUCAAGAAAUAAAAUAAACAGAAAUUAUUGCAAAGGUGUUCAUAUUUUUUGUCUUUGAUUUAAAAAUAAAUACAUUAAAGCACUCUAAACCUAGUAACCCAAUCAGCAUCUUUUUCUUCUUCUUUUUGUGUCAGAUUACAAUUUGGUUUUCAAUUAUUAUUAGGGUAGUGAAAGUCCAUACUUCUUGAUCUUAAAUAAUUUAUAGGUGCAAAAAUUGAUAUGGAAUACAUUCUUUAAUUAAUAAAAACUGAUAAAUAAAAUUAUUUUAAAAAAUUUGUUUAAAACUUGACUUAAUUCCAUUGUUGCUAGUUAUGCUAUAUUUAUUACAACAAUUUUCUUUGAGUGUGCUGAAUAUUUUUAUUGGUGUUUUCAGUAAAUUAAUUUAAAUGAUUUAAGUAGGGAUACUUUUGGCAUCUUAAAAAGUGUACAAAGUAAAAAUUAAUUUUUCAAAUUUAACGUAUGAGUAUAUAAAGUAAUAGAGUGUUUAGAGUACUUUUUAGAGUGUAAAUAGCCCAACCUUUUUUUUUUUUAAAAAAAAAAAGUUGUAACAAGAUAUUUGUUCAUAGCAUAGAAUGAAAAACAAUGUUAUAAGAAAUGAGCCGAACCAAGUUUUUAAGUGACUUACUUCUAUAGUUUUAUGCGCCGGUCUCCUACUAACUUUUUAUUGUCGUAAUUGUGGGCCUAUAAAAAUGGAAGAUUCCUGUAUUUGAUGUACGCAUUUAACCAAAAGAUCCAAUUUUCUUUGUUUUUUUUCUACCAAGUCCUGGCAACAUUAAUUAGUUUGGACUUUUGUAGUACUUCUAGCCCCCAGUUUAUACGUUGGGGUUGUAACUUCUUGGGAACUUUGGCCAUCUUUUUCCCGUUAUAUGAAUUCAUCGCAAAUCCCAAGUUUCACUACUCCUCUCCGAGUUUCAUUUCACCAAUUAUUAAAACAAUGCGAUCAAUUUUACUCUUAUCAUGGUCUUUCUUAAUACCCUUUUUACCCAAUUAUUUUGGGAUCCAAAUGGUUUUGGCUUCUGGCCAAUGUCGGAGCGAUCAACAAUCUUUGUUACUCCAAAUGAAGAACAGUUUCAGACUAAGCAAUGACAGUGUCUUUCCAUCUACAAAACUGAGUCAGUGGAGUAGCCAUCAAAGCUCCGAUUGUUGUGAUUGGAGCGGUGUAAGGUGCGAUGAGGCUGGUCAUGUUAUUGGUCUCGACUUGAGCAGGGAACCAAUCAUUGACGGACUUGAGAAUGCGACUGGCCUUUUCGAUCUUCAAUAUCUGCAGAGCCUCAAUCUGAGUUUCACUCUCUUCUACGGAUUCCAAAUACCAUCCAGAUUGGGCAACCUGACAAAUUUGACUCACCUGAAUCUUUCCCAGGGUGGCUUCGGGGGGGAGAUUCCCAUUGAGAUUUCAAGCUUGACAAGGUUGGUUACUCUUGAUUUGUCAGGCCUUGAGCACAGGUUGGUUACUCUUGAUUUGUCAGGCCGUGAGCGCUCAAGAGUAUUUUCCUGGAUAAUUGAGAUCCCAAACUUAAGCUUGUUUCUGCAGAACUUAACAGAGCUCAGAGAAUUACAUCUUGAUCGAAUAGAUUUGUCCGCCUCCGGAACUGAAUGGUCCAAAGCUUUAUCAUUUCUACCCAAUCUACAAGUUUUAAGCUUGUCUGGCUGUGAUCUUUCAGGUCCAAUCAAUCAUUACCUGGCAAAGUUACGGUCGCUCUCCGUGAUUCAUUUGUAUGACAAUUACGGUCUAUCCUCAUGUACAGAGUCUUUGGCCAAUCUGCCGAAUUUGAAGACCUUGGAUCUCAGCGAGUGUGGGUUGCAAGGGAAGUUUCCAGAAAAGAUAUUGCAGGUUCCUACCCUUGAGACUCUUGACUUGUCAGAAAACCAAUUGCUUCAGGGUUCUCUGCCAAACUUUCCUAAGAAUUCUUCUCUUCGGAACCUGAUCCUCUCUGGGACGGGAUUCUCAGGCACACUACCAGAUUCCAUUGGGAAUCUUGAAAAUUUGACGUGGGUAGAGGUUAGACGUUGCAAUUUCACAGGGCCAAUUCCCCCUUCAAUGGCUAAUCUUACCCAAUUAUUUCACAUGGACUUCUCAUCUAACCAUUUCUCUGGUCACAUCCCAUCUCUUCACAAGUCAAGAAAUCUUAAGUACUUAGACCUUUCGUUCAAUAAUUUAAGUGGUGGGAUCUCAUCCACCUUCUGGGAACAACUUGUAAAUCUCAAUCUUGUUCUCUUGUCGCACAAUUCACUUAAUGGAAGUAUUCCCAGAUCUCUGUUUCUACUUCCAAAUCUGGAGACGCUUUGGCUCUCCAACAACCAGUUUGAGAACCAACUUCCAGAAAUUUCAAAUGUGUCCUCGUCUGUUUUGUUUGACCUUGAUUUAAGCGGCAACAGAUUAGAAGGGCCUGUCCCCAUUUCAAUAAUUUUUGAACUCAGAAACCUUUAUACCCUCGAUCUUUCUUCCAAUAAGUUUAGCAGAUUGAGACUGGCUUCAAGCAAACCACGGGUCAUUCCUAUUCUAAAAAACCAAUCACAACUUUCUGGUUUGGACAUUUCAAAUAACCAAAUACCUGGAGAAAUACCAAAUUGGAUUUGGGAAGUCGGUAAUGGCAAUCUUAACUUCUUAAAUCUUUCACACAAUCUCCUAGUGAGCUUGCAAGAACCUUACUCUAUUUCUAGUAUCCGCUUGCUUGAUCUGCACUGCAACCAGCUCCGAGGAAAUAUCCCUCACAUGUUAACAAAUACUUCCUACGUCGAUUACUCCAACAAUCAUUUUACUUUCAUCCCAGCUGACAUUGGUAAUUUCAUGUCUGAAACUGAAUACUUUUUCGCUGCAAACAAUAGUCUCGUUGGAGUCAUCCCAGAAUCUGUAUGCAAGGGUAUCUAUUUUCAAGUUCUUGACUUAUCAAACAACAAUUUGAGUGGCACAAUUCCUGCAUGUUUAAUCGCCCAGAGUGAAACCACUCUAGGGGUUUUAAACUUGGGAAGAAACAACCUCAAUGGCACUCUUUCUGACACAAUAUUUCCAAGAAAUUGUGGGUUGCAAAUUCUAGAUCUCGGUGGAAAUCAACUGCAAGGAGUAGUUCCAAAAUCUCUUGCCAAUUGCAAUAUGCUGCAGGUUUUAGACCUCAAGAAUAACCAUAUCAGUGAUAAUUUCCCGUGCUGGUUAGGGAAUGCUUCUAGUUUGCAAGUUCUAGUUUUGCAAUCCAACAACUUCUCCGGACACAUUAGCUGUCCGAGAAAUAAUGUCUCAUGGCCUCUGCUUCAAAUAGUCGACUUAGCAUCCAAUAAAUUCAGCGGAAGACUAUCACAAAAAUGGUUACUUACCAUGGAGGAGAUGAUGGUUGCUGAAACCAAAUCCGGAUCUGAGCUCAAACACCUUCGAUAUGUGAUAUCGAGCAACCAAUUCUAUGAGGUUGGAGUAACAGUUACAGUAAAAGGUGUAGAGACCAUGCUACUGAAGGUCCCAAAUAUAUUCACUUCCAUUGACUUUUCAAGCAACAAUUUCGAAGGGCCAAUACCAGAAGAAAUGGGACGAUUCAAAUCACUCUAUGCUCUGAACAUGUCGCACAAUGCUCUCACAGGCUCGAUACCAUCAUCUUUUGGGAACUUGAAACAGAUUGAGUCCUUGGACCUCUCAAUGAACAACCUCAGUGGGAAAAUUCCUGCCCAGCUUGCAAGCCUAAAUUUCCUAUCGGUGCUAAAUCUCUCAUACAAUAACUUAGUGGGAAAGAUUCCGACAGGUACUCAACUCCAAUCAUUUUCACCGACUUCUUAUGAAGGAAACAAAGGAUUGUACGGUCCUCCUUUGACGAAUGACAGCCAAACACGUCCUCCCGAACUUCAACCUUCACCGCCGCCAGCUUCAAGCGAUGAAAUUGAUUGGUUCUUCAUAGCCAUGUCAGUUGGAUUUGCGGUAGGCUUCGGAGCAGUUGUUUCACCUCUAAUGUUUUCCGUGCGGGUAAAUAAAUGGUAUAACGAUCUUAUCUACAAAUUUAUAUAUCGGCGAUUCCGUGUGUGAAGUGAUUUAUAUCUCUCCUUUUGAAUAAUCAUGUAAGCUAGCUUUUGCUUUUCUCUUAUGUCAUAGAUAUUUGAGAUUUCUUUUAUUCCCUGUUUGAUGAAGUUGACAAUAAUUUGAAAUAAGGGCCUAUCUAUAACUGUUAUUAAAUCUUUAUCUCAAAAUUGGCUCCAAUUUAGAUCUAUAUUGGCUCAUUUCACACGCAAUAAAUCUUCGAGAGUCCGUACUAAAUUAAUAUGUGCAAGAUUGUGUAUGAUUCCUACACCAAGCUAGAUACACAGCGAUUCAUGAUCAUAUUCCAUUUGUUUACUUGGGAAGUUUUAUAGAGUAGAAAGAAGAACUUAGAAGAUAACUUUUCAUGAGUCCGUCCAAGAAAUGAGCCCAAAAAGGCUUCGGGCCCUUGUGGCCUAGCCUAGUAGUUUGUUCAAAAUAUUAGUUUAUGUUAUGUUUAAUUAUUGAAAUGAGAGUAAAUAGUAUGAAUUCUUUCCACUUCAAUGUUUUCUUGUUUAUAUAAUGAGGGGAAUGAGAGUCCCACUCCAUGGAUCCCACUCAUUUUCCGAGUAAAGAGUGGGAUUCUCACUUCUACAGGGGCCACUCCCACCUCUUUCUUUAUUAUCAUUUCUUUAUCAAAUCUAAUAAAUUUUAUAUUUAUUAAAAAUAAAAUAAUGUUACAUUAUUUAAAAAUAAUAGCAUCAUAUUUAUUUAAAUAAUAUUAUUAUGUUUAGUUAAAAAUAAUAAUUUAUGUAAUCUAAGUUAAAAUUACCUAAAAAUAUUAUUAUUAUAUUCAUAGAGAAUUAAUAUUAUUACAAUAUACUAUCUUUAUUUUAAAAAAUAAUAUUUUAUAUUUAUUUAAUAUUAAUAAAUAGUUUAUUUUAAGAAAAUAUUAAUUAUGUACUAUAUUAUUAAUAAUAAUGUUUCAUUUUUUGCUCUUAUAAUAAUUUUUAAUUUACAUAAUUAAAAUUAAUAAAAAAUUAUGAUUUACAUGAUUAAGAAUAUUAAUAAUUAUUAGUAAUUUAUGUAAUUAUAUAAUUUAUUUUAUAAAUAUAUUUUUUAUUUACUUUAUAAUUAAAAACUACAAUAUUUUAAAUAAGGGUAAAAGUGUAAUUUAAAAUAAUUUACUCCUAAUCCAAGUCAAAGUAAAAAUAUAUAAAUACGAUUCUCCUAUUCCACACUCUCCUUUCAAUGUAAGUAAACAACAUAUUUUCACUCACACUCCAUACUCUCAAUCCCUAGAUUCCCAAACCAAACCUUAGUUGAAUGGUCUUCAAAUAAUUUUAUUCAAUUAUAACAUGAGUUCAAAUAUUGAAAAAAAUAGAAUUAAAAAUUUAUAAAAAAUUGAUUUGAACUUUUUCCAUCACUCUUACUUUUAAAUAAAUGAAAAAGAAAAACUCUCAAAUAAACAAAUAAAAGCUUUUAUGUAUGUGCCCCAAUAACAUUUUUAUUAUCAAUUAUUUUGAGUUAUUAAUAUUGUGCAAUUUUUACAUUGAAUAUAGUUGUACAUAAUUUAUCUAACUUUAAUAUUAUUUUUGUUACCGACUUGUGUCUCAGCUAGGGGUGGGCAAAUUGGGUUUCGGUUCGGGUUGUUCGGGUUUCGGUUUGGGUUUCAACCCGUUCGGGUUGGAGAAUUGAACCCAAUCGGGUUGAAAACGCCAACUCGAACCAAACCGAACCGAAUUUAAUUCGGUUCGGUUCGGUUUGAGUUGGCAAUUCGGAUCGGAUUGGGUUGAUAAUUCGGGUUAACAUAUCGGUUCGGGUUAAUUCGGGUUAGUUUGGGUUAGAAUAAUUCGGGUUAGUUCGGGUUAAUCAAUUAAUUAAUUAACAAUCUCUAAUUUAAUUAUUAAUAACAGCAACAAACCCACUCCAAUUUAAUUAAUAACAGUCUCCAAUUGUUCAAUUAUCAGUAAACCCACUCCAAUUUAACUAAUAACAAUCUCCAUUUGUUUAAUUAUCAGUCAACAACAACAAACACACUCCAAAUAAUUGAAUAAUUGCCAAUCAAUUAAUUAAAAAUAUAAAAUUUAAUUAUUAGUCAAUGAAGCUCAAUUAAAACUACGUUACAGCUCAAUUAAUUAUUAGUCAAUGAAGCUCCAUUAAAACUACGUUACAGCAUUGAGUUAGUAAUAGGAAAUUCGAAAUUCGAUUCGGGUUGUUGCCAUCAGCUGCAAGCAAGUCAGCAAGUUACAGGCUUACAGCGUCGGCAAAGCGAGACAAACCUUGAUCUCGGAGCAGCUACAACGUCGGCAGAUCGAGACCGUGUUGGGCUGAGUGGGACGCGAGGUGAACGCACGGCGCAGUUGCGGGUGAGGCGUGCUGGCUGACGGCGAGUGGGCUGCGGUGAACGGCUGGUGUCUGUUGGAGUUGGACGAGGCUGCUGGCUAUUACUGUCGUCGUGGCCCACGAAACUCGGAAGAGGGAGUAAGGAGGGAGGGGGAGGGAGAGACGGUGAGACCGAGAGUUUAGCUAAUUAGCUGCUUAGGGAUUUUUUUCAUUUAAUGUAUGGACUUGACUAGCUUACAGAAUCUGGAAGCUACAGACUGCAGCAUCAGCCAUUGGAUGUGGAGUGAGAAACUAAACAAUAGAAAUCAGAUGGUGGGAUGACGGGUAUGUAUAUAUAUUUUUAAUUUUUAAAAGCUGAAUCUUAAAAAAAAAAAAAAAAGGCUUCAACCCGAACGGGUUGAGAAUUCGGUUCGGGUUGAACCCAAACCAAAUUUUAACCCGAAUGGGUUGAAGCUUUGAAUCCGUUGGGGUUUCACCGGUUAACCCAAACCGAAUGCCCACCCCUAGUCUCAGCCAUUAGCCAAGUGGUAAACUCUAACUCUUCCAAGUCCUCUUAAAUUUUACUCUCCUAAUUAAAAAUUACGUAAAGAUAUGAAUUUUCUCUAUUGAUUUUUGUAGGUAGAACAAAUAACCUUCCAGUAUUUGUAAGAUAGAAUUAUAGGUUAUGCUAUAAUAGAGUUGAUCUAGAUGGUUUAUGAGUAGACUUCUAAUUGUAUAAUACAUAUUAGUAAGGGGAAAAAGACAUCUCCACUUGCAAAAUGUGGAGAAGUAGUCACCAACACUCCUAAGUUUUCAUAAAAGGAUGUUAAGACUCAUUUUGACUAUUAUACUCUUUAUCUCUAUUAUUCCC
rnacentral:lncRNA from 1 species